rnacentral:lncRNA from 1 species
CACACUCUCGGAACUCCCCUACGUUCUCCCUUAUGGAUAGUUCUGACCGAUAUCUCAACACUCCCCCGCGGGCAGAACUCCAUACUCAAAUUACGUAUCGCAAUAGCAUCCUACCUCAAAUCAUGUGCUACAAACAAUCCCUGCAUACCUCGUACUCUUGCCGCUUGUAGUCACUGUGCUACUGCAAUCGUCCCAUGUCCUCGUGUCCUCAAGAUCACGUCUUUCUCUUUCUCACUGCAUCGUCCAUAAUCAGCUCAAAUCAAUACGGUCUUCUACCGCAAUCAAUUUCAUCCGGAAAUCCAUAAUCAUAUCUGCACGGCUCCCCCGUGUCCGAAUGCUCCCGCAUCCGCUGUACUUACGGCUUCACUUCACCGUACCUGCGGUUUCACACACCGCAUCAUGCCGCACUACCGGCAUCAUAGCUUCAAGUGCUAGAGAGCCAUACACAUAAGAUGAUCUUUUAACAUCAUAUGAUAAGAGCAUAACAGCAACUCUCAACCGCUGGCUUCACUUGCCAUGUUCGUUCAUCUGACUUCACUUGCCAGUCGUGGAUCCUUGCCAGUCCGUGACUUCACUCGCCACAUGUGACUUCACUCGCCACAUAGCAAACCACUCUCAGUGCACUUCACUCGUGCAGACAGUAGCAAAGCUUCACUCGCAUUUGCUCACACAAUCUCAGGUGCUUCACUCACACCCCGUGCUUCACUUGCACGUCUCAUACUGGUGCUUCACUCACACCGCGUGUCAUACUCGCACGCAUAUCGUACUCACGAUGCCUUACUCGCACCGACAUACUCACGAUGCUUUACUCGCACCGACAGCCCAACGUGGCCGUUCACAUCCCAUGCAGCACCGCAGCACUGUUCAUGUCUCAUGCAGCCCCUCCCGGGCGCUCACACAUCCCCGUAGUCUAUGCUCCACAGCAUAUUUUCUGCUCCUACGAACGCUACUAGGCGCGGACCCCCGGCCGCGCCCCCGGCCGUUUCCCUGGUCCUGGUUCACCGCCAUCAUGCGCCGGUCACUGCCGUCCCGGCCUACGCGUGCACCGCGCGCCUGGUUGCCACCGCCGCCCUCAGCGGCCUGCUCCGGGCACUCCCUCUGGAAAUGUCCCCAGCCCUGGCACCUGUGGCACUGGACGUUCUCUUUGCUGCGCCAACGCCGCCCUCUUAGCUAGGACCUCCACCAACUCUCCAUAGUGGAAUGGUCACGCAUGCUGAGGAUAAGGCUUGCUUCCUCGCCAUCCCGCGAGUACACACUCGACUCUCAACGAGUCCUUAGCAGCUUAUCACCGGUCAUUCUCCAAAGUGAGCGACCGACAAACUCCAGACGCGAUGCCGUCCGCAAAUUCCGGCCUCCUCGGCCGGUCACGCUGACUUUGCCUACAUUAUCCCGAGCCUAGUUGAGCAGCUCAAGGGAUCUUGCGAGCAUUUGCUGCGCCGCCUACUGGGCAGCCGCUUUCCUCGCUCAUUGCGCUCAAUGGCCUACAGCCUAUUGGUUAUCUUGUCUUUACUCGACAAAGCGCAACCCGCCGCAACUACGCGGGGCUCAUAACCUGUUGAAUGGUGAUUACGACUAUCGCUAGCCGGAAGUAGGGGCGGCUGACAGUCAGACUGUUUCGCACAUUACAUAGUACCACACUACUUAACUAUAACGGGUAGCUCUCUGGCUUAUACCCUCGCAUGGGUUCCGGGUUAAGUCCUUGCAUGGUGUAUCGCACACACACUCUCGGAACUCCCCUACGUUCUCCCUUAUGGAUAGUUCUGACCGAUAUCUCAACAGCUAUGUAUCACCAUUUUUGUGCAGGGGGUUGUUCUUGCGGACGAGGCGGAUGGGGGUUGGGGCUGGGGGUGGGGCUGGGGGUGGGGCUGGGGGUUAGCGUGCCCCGGCCCCCGCAGGGGGCGCGGCGCACCUAUACGUUUCAGAAAGGGGGGGCCUCCCCAAGUUGGCAAACACGUGUUCCCCGCUCCUGCCGACUGCACACGGCCAUUAUUUAAGCCAUCCAUUACACGAAGCUAUUGUACACAAGGUAGAAGAGGCCCCAGCGACAAAGUUCCGAUACCCGACUCGAGUCAGGGAACCUCGAUCGCGAAAAAAACUGAGGCUAAACCAUAUUUCGCGCACUCUAACGCAUAGAAUGGUGUCCGAUGCCUCAAGAAAGACAACUCUUUGGCCGAUUUCAUCGCACAGGCUGGUGCUGGUCCCAGGUAACUAUCAGAUACGUAGAUUGCUGCAAUUUCAGCACUUAUGUAUCUGUCAGGAGGCCCGUAGGCGCGUAAGCUGCGAGCGCGAGCACCUGUCCUUAUUAGUGCCGUGCUGGCUGCCCCACAACGUGAGACCUAUGAAGCUGAAACUCUGUUAUAAUUAAAUUUGCAAAACGUGUAAGGCUGAACGGUUUUGCCGCAAGGGCGAACUUGAACUUACUUCGCGACGUCCAACCGUCCGACGUCCAAUGCACAGCCCCGACCCCCCAGCACCGGCACCCAGAUCACAUUUUACUUAUAGUGGAGUCUAUAUCUCGCGGUGGGGGACGGUAUGACGGGUUUUGGUGCUGGGGGGGGGGGGUCGGCAGGGUGCGGGGCCGAGCUGCGGGCACACGGGGAGAAGUCCGCGCGCGCCCUCGCAAUUUCACAGGGCGUUGGCCCAGCUAUUAAUAUUAAAUAAAUACGUAAGUAUUUAGAAGCUGCGCGGGCGAAAACGAGCGAUUUUGCGUCCCUUAAUUGGAUCCCAUUUCCCCAGACUCUAAUUCCCCGAUGAGGGCCCCGACUAGAUGAGCAAGUACAAGCAUUGGAUGGGGCUGUGUGCGGAAGGAGCGGCACCACUGACCAUGCAAGGGCACAGUAGAGCAUUUAUACCAGUUGCGCACCACAAGGCCUUGAUGAGGUUCCGCCUAUGCUGCUGGCCGCUUACUGCCAACCGCGCCUAUGGACGACCUAGGGAGGAGAGGAUUUGCCCGCUAUGUGUUGCAAAUGAAGUCGAAGAUGAGAAUCAUGCGGUGUACGGCCUACGACCAGUUGCGUUUGGGUAGCGAGAUCGAUUUUACAGGCGGAAUGCAGGCCGUCAUGCAGAAUGCGGACCCAGCCAGGUUAGCCGCGUUACUAGAUUCCAUUUGGGAGCACAGGAGCAUAAGCACCCCCAUUCGGGGACCAAACUAGCUGCAUAUAUAAGUGUUGCAGGCGUUAUAAGGGCCCCCCGGCCCGGGCCUAGGUUUCUACAAGGACAGGAAUGCACGUCGUGCUCACCACCUUGUAACCACACACAACAACAACAAGGUUUGCGACCCCGACCCCGACCCCAACCUCGACCCCGACCCCGACCCCGACCCGGUCACCGGUCCGGGAGGUUGUGCGCACGCCAGCAUCCGCAGUACCUUUGGUCCAACGUUUGUUACGACUCUGGCACUCAGAUCAUACCUGAGACUUCAGUCGCCACCCGUCGCCACUUCUACAUCAGCCUCCUCUCGUGCUCGGCAUUUUAACACCGUACAUUGCGUCCCCUGUCACUUGACUCCCUGAGGGGCACGCUCCAUGGAUCGCAUGGCGGUCCGCUAGUGGGGAUGGCAAGUCCGGGGGGGGGGAGGGUAAGACAUCAGCUGUCAGCCAGGGCCAGCCCGGAUUCUGUCCCGCAAAUUGCAAACGCAUCACGCAUGCAACGUCUAGCAGCGUGGCAUGCGUAGGCUAAUACGCCUGUCAGCAACCCGGGCGCCGGAUUCACUGUGAAGGGCGCCUGGUUGGCGUGCCCCGGCCCCCGCAGGGGGCGCGGCGCACCCAUACGUGUCAGAAAGCGGCAGUUGACGAAAAGUUGGGCAACACGUGUUCCCCGCUCCUGCCGACUGCACACAGGCAUUAGUUAAGCCCCCUGUUACACGAAGCUGUUGUACACAAGGAAGAAGAGGCCCCAGCGACGCAGUUCCGAUACCCGGCUCGAGUCCAGGGAACCCGACCGCGAAAAUAGCUGAGAUAUAACUGAUGCUGAUACAUUUAAUAUACGCUCAAACGCAUAGAAUGGAGUCCGAUGCCUCAAGGAAGCCAAUGUUGAGGCCGAUAUUAUCGCAGAGGCUGGCGCUGUUCCAGCUGAUUUAUUAGAUACAUAAAUUGCUCCAAAGUAAGCAAUUGUAAAUCCUUCAAAAGCCUCGUAGGCGUGUAAGCUGCGAGCGCGAUCAUCUGUCCUUAAUACAGCCGCGCUGGCAGCCCCAUAUAGUGAGACCAAUGAAGUUUAGACUCCGUAAUCAAGAUAUUUGCAAAACGUGCAGGGUGAACGGUUUCGCCGCAAGGUCGAACUUUCUGCCUCGGUUGCGGCCUCGGCGAGCGCUGGCAGGUCCUGGGCUGGUGCUCCCGUGUGUGGCCUUAGCAUGUGCCGGCUGUACGCAGUGUGCUGACGGCUCAUCCCGUCCUGCCGUGCCAUACCUCGGCUGUUCAGACUUGGCCUGUGCCACGCGCUCUUGGUGGCACAUCAAGCUGCCUGCAGUGUAAAUCUGUUCGGCAGUUCGGCUGUGUGUUCGGUCCCGCCCACGUUGCGACUCUGGCACUUGCUCUGAGGUCUAUCUCAACUUCAUUACCCGCCCUGCUUCGCCCCAGCUCAACAUUCCUGCCUGCAUGUGCGUGCCAUGUUUGUUCAGCCAAACAGUGCCAAACACCGCUGUACGUUGCGUCCCAUGUCACUUGACUCCCUGAGGGGCACGCCCCAUGGAUCGCAUGGCGGUCCGCUAGUGGUCACAUUUACACGAACUUCUUCGGACUCGGAAUCGGAGGGAGAGUCUGGCGCCCGUAGACCCGCACGCCUCAACUGGCAAAUAAGACUUGAUGUCACCUGGUUUCAGCUACAAGUGAGCUCGAGUAAAAAUGGCAGGGAAGCGCGGCCUAAAACGGAAGUUCGAGGAAAGCGCGCGGCGCGACUUGGCAACUUGUCGCCGGCUUCCGAACGUGGGACUGAGUAGAAAUCGGUUCCGUUUACUUGACUUGCCAACAGGGCUGCGCACAACGCGCGCCCGCCGAUUCCUUAUUGAGUGUGAUUGGCCCCAUGGGGGUGGCGCUGAACAAGCGGAAUCCAGGCGCUCAAGACUUCCUGUACACAUCACCCCUAAAGUUGUCUUGACACAUUAUCGAUAUAGCAAUUGUUCCAGAUCCCCGCACACAACAGAGUGACCUGCAGCAAUUUCCAGCGGCGCAACAGCAUCCUUCGGGUGGUACCCGGUAGCAAUAAGGUAUGUUCAUACUCGUGCAUGCCUCGAAUUGAAAGCUUAGGUGCACCGAAGGCCGCACAGGCGUUAAGGCCCCACCGAACUAUUCCGAGUUGCGUGUUGCUGCGCUGUCUGUUGUACAUGUACACAUACCUUAUGCAUAUGGCUCCAAAGCGCCCUAGAGGGCACGGGGUUGGCGCGCAUGGUGGGCAGUUUGGCCUUCAUCUUGGCUUGUCCGCUGCGAACUUCCAAGUGCACGAUUUUUGUUUGACAUGGGCCUAUUUUGAUGAAUACGUAUGCCGCUGACUAUGCUGAUGUAUGCCGUAGCGCUGCCCGACUUCUCGUGACUCGGCGGACGUAGCAGGCCGUCAGGACGGGGCCACCCAAGAACAAUGGCCACGAUGACUCAGUGGGCGCUGCUCGUUGUAUGCGCAAGCUGGUAAGUACAGAGCGUGCGCUCUAUUCCAUAGCAGAUUCCACUGGUCCUUCAUGAAAAGCCUAAAGGGAGUCGGAAGAGGCGCAUGUGGGCCUUGCGACCCCCUCCCACCGUGCCCUCCCACCUUACCUCCCACCCUGCCGUAACCUUCCAGUCGCUUCCAUCCGUUUGAGUGCCUUGUGAAAAGCGGACGCCCGGGCCGGGUUGGACCUUACACUGCCAUCAAACGUUAUCAUUUGACGUUUCGCUCCCGUAGUAACCUCCAUUCCCUCCCGUACGUCUUGCAGCUGCGGCGCUCUCCUGUCCGCUAUGCCGGCUGCGGCUAGCUCCGUCCUCGCUGCUCAAGAUGCGGGCGUCCAGCAGCCUCGGGGCAACAGGAGCCUGCGCGGAGGGGCGGCGGCACAGCCGCCGCCUGCUCCCACGUACGUGUACGCAUGGGCAGGGCCCAAGGACCCCUCUCUGGGCGGAAAGGACUCCCUCUUUGUGAUCUCGCUCGCGGGCAAAGAGUACGGCAAGGUGGUGACUGUCGUACCCACGCCGUACGCUGGGCUGGAGCCGCACCACUGCAGCCUGUCCGUGGACCGCCGUACACUGGCAUGCGGCGGUCUGUUCGCUGCCCUGGCUAACGGCCCGGGAAUUUUGUUCUUCAACGUUAGCAGCAACCCGCGCGCUCCCACGCUGAUUGACCCCGCGACCGUUACCCAGCCCCGGUUUGGCGCCUUUGUGGACGAGUUCGUUCCCACCCCCGAUGGUGAGUGCGUGUGCGUGAAUCACGUGCACAUGCGUGUGUGACACGGGCUCCAAUGCUCCAUGUUGACUUACAUGGGUACCGCUAGCAGCAGCAUUAACAGCCCACCUUCCCACCUGCGCACUUACAAAACCAUCAUGCUCCGCCGCCCACGCGCAGGCGGCUUCCUGGUCACGCUGAUGGGAAGUCCCACGGGCGGUUCCCCCGGGCGCAUCGCGCGCUACAACGCGGCGCGCCAGCUGGUGGGCGAGUACCCGGACCCCGCCAAGUUCCCCGACGCCGUCACCCUGCCCAGCUUCAACCCCCACGGUACGCGCAUGACGCUUGGACCAGAUCAGGAAUGAAGGUCGCACACGUGUGUCCACCGCACGCGCCCCGAAGUUGUUGUGUCGCAGCCGGCCAUGCACCUUUGUGCGUCCUGCCCGCCCCCAUUCCAUCAGCUUGGCACGGGGCAGCACACGCGGCGGUACAUGCACCCAGUUGCUUUGUGGUGUGCACGUGUGCGCAGGCAUGGGUGUGAGCUGGGGCCACAAGAUCGCGCUGUCAGUUGAUUACCUCGAGCCCGCAUCCACCCUGAACGGCCAGGUGAGGGUAGUGCAAUGCGUGAUGAGGGGAUGUGGGAUGCCGCGGCACGCAAGUACAGCGGCACGAUACUGCGGUGCCUGUUUGGAAAGGGUGUUUUCUUCCCGAUCCAACGUUACCUUGGUCGCCCCCUCUCAACAACCAACGUUGCUCAUCGUUCGCUCGCGGCGACAGGUCAUCCAGAAGCGCUCCACGUUGCGCUUGUGGAACACCUCCAACUGGAGCGCCAUCAUGGAGACGAUUGACGGCUCGGGCGCCGAGGGCCAUAUCAAUGGUCCCAUGGACGCCGUCGCGAUCGGUGACACGGGUGAGCCGUUGCGCCGGGGAAGGGGGGGGGACAGCCGUGGGGGGCGGCGCACAUGCCGAUGUAGCGGGUGCCGAUCAAGCACGAAGCCGGUCAUGGGCGUGACGCGAGUGUACGUGAAGCCAGGCCACAUGGCAUCAGGUGCACUCCUGCUGGCUGCCGCCAAGCGCAUUCAGGACUUCAAGCCUUGAGGUGCUUACCGUGUUGCCAUGGCCCGACCCGUGAACAGGCACGUUCCUGUUUGGCGGCGGCAACGGAUACAUCUACUACCUGGACGGAAGGUCGGUGUGUGUGAGAACGUUACGGUCGAGAGCGACCCGUUGACCCGCGCAGGCGGUGGUCUAGGGCGCGGGCCCUCGCUUAAUCCUUAAACCAUGCACGCAACUGUUUCUGCAUCCAUGCAUGCCGCACGCAGGGGCCCGGCUACUCCUCAUUCGCCCAAGCUCGUGUGGGACCUGCUGGGUGGCGCCAUGGACCGCACCAGUUACGGAUGCAUCCUGUACUCGUUCCGCAACGGCACACGCCUGCUGGCGUCCGCCUUCGUGCGCGACAUGGUGCGUGCGGGUGCGGCACAUGUAUGGUGUAUGGGUGGAUGCAUGUGGAGGCGCGGUCGAGGCCCGACACACGGCCAUCACAGUAGCUGUUAUGUGUCCUUCCUCUCCCUCAUAGAAACCAUAAUGUCCCCCUGCACCCUUCAAAUACAGGUCCAGCUGCUUGACACGACCAACCCCCUCAAGCCAAAGCUGUUGGAUACGCUGCAGAUGCCCAAGGGCGCGGGUGAGUUGCAUGGGUCACAGCCGAGAGCGCGCACGACUACGUUCCACACCCUGCCUGUGUAAAAGUGGACGAGCGCAGGGGUGGACGAGGGCGUGGGCCGAGAUGUGGACAGGCUACAAACCGUUCGCCGCUGGAAGGUCGCAGCGCUUCUUGGCAGCUUGCAAGUCCCCGAGUGCCAUGAGUGACAGCAGCCGCUGCUGAUUGCCAUCGUCCCUAUCUUAUGCGGCGCACAGGCGGUCACGUUGUGCGGCUGAGCGCGGACGAGAGCAUGGGCGCCGUGACCACAUACUUCCUGGAUGAGGGCGCUGUGGGCCAGGUGGGUGGAUUGAAUGUACGUGCGCUGGGACCCGUGUAGCUAGCUCGUGGCUAGCCAGCGGAUAGAUGGUGAGGUUAUCCUAAUAGUGGCUGCACAUACAGCAGGGCAGAUAGCCUGUGUACCGUGUGUGGCAUCCACCGCCCUUUCUUUGCGUGCACAAGACGCCAUCGCCACGGAUACGUAGGUGCAUGUGAGCAAAGCCAAGUAACCCUGCAUGCAUCUUACGGAUGUUCACGCCUCGACUAAGCCACCCCGCUCCGUCCCCGCGCACGCCCCGCAUGCGCACACACCUGCACACAGGUGCAUUUCGAGGGUGACAUGACUGUGCGCCUGUUCAAGCUAAACGCAAAGGCAACCAAGAUCACCAUCAACAAGCCCGUCAAGUCUGUGUUGGACUUUAAGAAGAAAAUGGGCGCCCAGGGAGCGUUCCGGCCCCAUGGCGUCGCGUUCUAUUGAAAACCUUGUGAUACCUCAUCAUAGGUUUGCUCGGGAAAGGGCGGCGUCAUGUGAAGUCGCCCACGUACGGACCUCAAUCGUAUGCCUUGCAUUCAUCAACCACUUCACUGGCACUGCAAAUUCUUGUGCUCAGCGGAGUAUCAAGUGUUAAUAAGGCGGUGCUGAACUGCUGUCUUCGUAAACCUCAUCCAAUGAUCGGCCAUUCAUGUAUGGGGUCGAGCGUAGAGUAAUCGAAGGGGUGCGGGCAAGGCUGACAGAUAAUCGAAGCCGACGCAGGAAGGGCGGAUGGAUUCACACAAAGGUCUGGAGUGAGUGCGUGUGUUGGAGAGCACAAGGACAACAAAGCGCAAAGACAGUGCUGUAUGCGAUGCAGCAACGCGACGGUUUACGCAUGUUGCCUGAAGUUACCUCGGGGAGUACGGUAGUCGAAACCGUUCCCGAGUAAUACUAAGACAUGCUGGGGACUGAAGGCGGUGUGUUGUGUGUGUGUAUAUGUGUGUGUGUGUGUGUGUGUGUGUGUGCGCGCGCGCGAUGGGACCUGGCAAGGGGCAGGUGUAGUCGUGUGCAGUCCCAUGGCUGAUAUGGCUGAGCCCCGAGAAACAAGUUACGUGCAACCCAGGCGCCGAAUCAAAGUUUAUCCAGCGAAUCCAGUUCACAGCUGCCUGAUGAGACCAGCUUAAGACCGCUAGCACAGUCAGAAUUUGCAAAUAAAGGUCUGGUAGUACGCGCGCGCGCGUGUGUGUGUGUGUGUGUGUGGUUGUGUGUCUGGUGCUAUUGCCUGGCUGGGCGCCCAGAGCGUGAGGAGCGCGCGCCAGCAAACUAACAGCUCCUAGCACGUCAGCGAUGUUAUGGUCGAGUCAUUCUGGCGUUAUACCAGCCGCGCGCCCUUCCCUUGAAGUCGCAAAUUGAAUGUGGGGAUUCGGGAAGUUGCUGCACACCAUGGGACUACGCCAACAUGCCCCUUACCCCUGUCCCAAUGCACGCCAUGCGGCACAGACAUGGAUGGGCCUUACAAUACCUGCCAUGACAGGCUCUGAUGCUGCCAACGUAGUAAGACACACUUGCAUUCAGUGAUCGCUUCAGAUAACGCUUGGUAGUUGGGCGCGGGAGAAGAGACGAAAUCAGCAGAAUUUGAAAAGCUCACAGCCACGAACGCCGAACGAAGUCAUCCAUGUGGCAUGCAGUUGCAGAUUGCUUCAACCAUGCUCCACCUGUUUUCUUUGGGCACGUACAUUACUAUUGGACUGGGUUGCAUGGAAAACGACUACCUUGGGAACAGAACCCAGCAGAAUCCCACCGAGUAUGAGUCUUGCUGGCAGUCAUCCUCUACCCCAAAAGCAUGAACACAUUCGCUCAUUCUUCGAUUGCGCUAGCUUGUAUGAGAACAACAUCACUCUUGCAGCGCAUUCACAACGUCUAGCUGCUGGGAUGCACGGUGCAUGGCACUCCGUUAAAGCAUCUUUACCCUACUUACACCCAUAAAUCACACCUCUAACCUGUUGCUGCCAUUGAAUUGCAGUUCACGAGUACGAAUGAGGACACUCUGCGCCCUGAGCGCCUGCUGCACAUUGCGAACAGCUGGACUUCCUACCGCUACAGUGCGCAUUGUACUUGCAAACCAGCUGCCUGUUCGUCUCCCACCCUGCCUGCGGCAAACCCUAACACAUCAACUACUCGCACAUGCAUGGUCAAGGCACACGCUGCAAAACGACAGCUACUCGUUCUCAUGUCAGCUGCCUAAAGCAAACAACCUUCUGCCUUCACUGCCUAGUACCCACUACCGUAGUACCCAUCAGUACCCGCCCAUCGAAGCACUGGGCAGCGACCGCGCCGCGUCCGCGGCAACGGCCAGCUGCCGCUUCCGCUCCUCCCGCGCCAUCUUUGCAGCGGCUUUCGCCUCCCGCUUCGCCACGCGCUCCGCACGCUCAGCAAGCUUGGCUGCCUUCUCUGCCCUCGUGAUCAUGUGCCGCUGCGGCUCAGGCUCAGGCUCCAUGCCUAAAAACUCCUCAUGCUGCUCGUGUUGCUCUAACGGCUGAACGCCUGUCCCGCCCUCGGCGCGGAAUGUGUUAGAGCCUUCUGUGGGCACGUUCAGGCCCGGGCCCCUGCUGCCCACUGCCACACCGCCAGCUGCAUCACUCUCGAUCUCGUCAGCGGACGAGGGCUCGGGCGCAGCACUGUCAGGUGCAGGCAUUUCGAGCUGCAACUCCAGAUGCGCCUCUGCCGCGGGCACCGCCUCCGGCUCCGGCUCCGGCUCCAGCGCUUGAGGCCGCGCCCGCUUGAGCGGCUGCAGCCCUGCUGGCGGCAGCUGCUGCGACACAGGCGGCGGCAGAGACGGCGGCGCUGGCGGCGGCGCUGGAUGCACCGCUUCGGCAGCCGGUGCCGUCCCCGCCUGGUGGUAGCUGCGAGCCCCAUGCUGCCUCUCCUGUUCCUGCCCCGCCCCCAGCUCCUGUAGCCCAGCUCUCCCGCGAAGCUGCUGGAGCCGCGGCGGCAUUGGCUGCUCCGGGUCAAGACCGUCCGCGAUUGCCGCAGAUGCAGCUUCCACCGCCGCCGUCAGCGGCGGCACGGCCACGGUAUCAACAAUGGGAGGAGGCGACGCCGCAUCCUCCAGUGCCAGGCGACGACGUGCGUGCGUUGCGUUGUGCUGCACCGCAUCUGCGGCCACGCCCGCCCCUGCCCCAUGCCACUCGCCCAGCUGUUCUCCAUCCACCACUUCCCGCGGCGCCGGUGCGUCUACGGCAGACGCCACUGCAUGGGGAUCUGAGCUCCACGCCAGCAGUGCGUCCGGCCGCAUGAUCUCAGGCGUGAUGGGCCCGACUGCAGCCACAACCGUGCCCGUUUCUGGCUUUCCCACAGCUGCCGCCACGCCGGCCUCGGUAGGCUCCGGCAUUGAUGACGUUCCCACAGCUGCACCAGACCUUGCUUCUGUCUGGGACGUUGGCAGCACAGCGCUGGAGGGCUGUGGCUUGGGGGAGACGGGUUCAGAGCCGUCAGCCGCCGCCGGUUGAAGGGCACCAGGCAUGUGGAAGCGGAGCUGCCCGCGGGGGCUGGACGCCGCUACUCCUGCCGCCGCCGCCGCAGCAGCAGCAGCAGCAGUGAAGCUGCGGGAAGCUAGCAACGCUGCUGCCGGCGACACCCCACGCGGCGGCGGGGCCUCGAGGCCUGAGGUUGCGGAGGCCAGCGGAUGCAGGCGCGUGCGACUGGUGCUGGCGGCGCCAAAGCGUGUGCUGGACUUGAGCCGUGCGCUGACGCGCCCGCCGGCCUCAAUCACGGAGCCCCCUGCGCCCCAAUCAUCAUCCCACUCGCAGGCAUCGUCGUUGUCCGCAUCAUCUUGCACGUGAGAGCCCGUGCCGGAGCCAACUGAGGACUGGGAGCCGAAGUCGCGCUGCACGCCCCCCACACGGUGCCGUGAGGAGCCCGGCGCAGCAGCAGCAGCGGCUGCGGCCGCAGCGUCCGAGGCCGCGGCGGCGGGAAAGAUGCUGGCCGCAUCGGUGAUGCUGGCGCGGCGAAAGCUAACGACCGGGGCCAGUCGCCGGGCCGAGACCGAUCGUGCCUGGAGGGCGGCCAUUGUUUCGGCGGCAGUAGCUGUAGCAUCUCCUUCGCCCUCGGCGCCGGCGCGCGGGUCGUUGGGCAGCUGUAGCGGGUUCAGAAGGCCACGACGGUCGCGGCGGGCGAUCGACAGUGCCGAUGCGAGGGCACGCACGCGCGGUGAUGCCGGGUCCUGCUGCGCCGCCGACUGCGGCCGCGAGCUGUGUGGCUGCUGAGGUUGCAGCUGCACCGAUGCAGGAGAGGGCAGGCCCGCUCCGGACUGUUGCUGUGAUGAUGGCAGCAGUAACGGCGAGGGCGGCAGUAGCGCGUGCGACGCUACAGCCGCUGACAGCUGCUGCUGCUGCGCUGCCAAGAUCUGCAACAGCUGCACUUGGGCGGUGGCGCCACCACUUACGCUAGGUGGAUGUGAUGGCUCAGGCUGUGGAGCUUGCACGGAUUCCGCGCCACUGUCCGGCUGCAGCUCUGCCGCCUCGGACAUCAAGCUACCCGCGUCGCCACCACACGGCAUGGAUACGGGUGCACCAGGCGUGGCCCUAGUCGGUGAAGCUGGCGGCGAGCUUGGCUGCGAGGCGCAUGACAUGUCACCCGCUUGCGGCAUCUCUGCUCGCGCUGCCUUGCUUGACGCCUGAGCAGUCGCGCCUGCGGGAGCGGCGGGAACUGAUUCACACGUGCCUGCACCAAGAAGCCCGCUUGAUUCCGUUUGGGUUGUGGCUGCCGCCGCCGCCGCGGGUGCGGCGGCCUCGAUUGGGGGCAGGCGGCGGGGUUUGUAGGUGUGACGUCCACGGGACAGCGGCGGUAAGCUGCCUGGAGCCUGGUGCGCAGGCGAGAGCAGCGGCCCCGCUGCUGCUGGCGAGGCCGGAGCCUUUGGUGGGAGGCCAUGCGGAUGUGAUUCGACAAGCGCGAGCGCUGCUGCUGGCAGCGGCAAAGAUGCAGAUGGCGCAGCAGGCGUCAAAGGGAUGCCAGCUGCAUUCGUGCUCAUGCCUGCUGUGCCCGCGUCUGCGCCAGUGGCGGCGGAGGGCUGUGGGGCACUGAUUGCCGGCGCUGCCAGCGCCUGCGGUUGCGUGCUGUCUGAGGCCUGGGCAUCUGCACCCCUGCCGUGAAGGACCUCGGAAGGCGCGCUGAUGCUCGGGCCAAGCCCAGCUCCACACGCCGCCUGUGUCGCUGCCGCAGCGGCAGCAGGCGGCGGCGCUGCAUCUCCACAUAGCUUUAGCUCCUUAGGUGCUGGGCUUGCAGCAUCCCAGACCUCAGCCAUGGAUAGAUGCUGCGCAGGAGUUGAAGUGGCUGGAUACUCAGCCGCGCCCGGCGCAGGAUGUGCGCCCGGCUGUGCGCCCGGCUGUACGUGCUCGCUGUGCUGCGGCGGAGAGAGUGCGUGAGAGACUGAGUCAGCGCCGCCUGGUGCCGAGGACCGCCGUGCUGCCGCUGCAGGUGCAGGUGAUGAUGAUACCGCGGCCGUUUCAGAGCCCUCCGGCGCCCCCACCCCGGCUGUCCCGGCAGCAGAAGCAGCCACGGUGCUGGCAUGGGCGAAGGGCGUGACGGGCUCCGCUACCUCACUGCCUACAACCCUGCUGUCUGCAGCAGCUGCUGACUGUGGUGGGCUCAUGGGCUCCGGCGUGACCGCUGCGGUCGUUGGCGGUGAUGGAGACGAGGCCUUGCCAAAGAGGCCUCGGGCCCACGCCACAAAGCGGCCUACCAGCGACGGGGCUUUCGCAACCGCAACGGCAGCGGCCUUUGCCGACAUCGCUGGACCUGCUGCUGCUGCCUGCGCAGCUGCGGCCGCCGGCUGCAGCACGGCCUGAGCGCCAACCGCACCCGCACCAUUAUCAGCCAUUUCGAAAGGCUCUCCCUCCACAACCACAGCGUCGCGCAGUCGAGCGGAAGCAGGCGUCGUGCGAAGCGACUCGCCUUGAGGCGGCGAGGCCGCACCCGCGGCACCACACACGACGGCACCGCCCGUACUGCUGCGCCGUGACGUCGCAGCUGUCGUCGUCGCCAGGGUCACGGGUGUGACACCGCCUGCGCUCGUGGCUCGUGAGUCCGGCAUGAAGCGAGACGGACGCUGGCGUGAAGCUACGCCACCAUCCAACCCCGCGGAAGGCGGUCCGUCGGAGGUGCGCGGCGGCGGCAGUGGCUGCGCCGGUGGCGGUGCGCCGCUGCUGAUGCCUGGGCCGCUGAUGAACUGCGCACGUGACGAACCAACCACAGGGGCAGCCACAAUGGGUGGUGGGGGCCCGCCCGCCGUGCCAUACUCAGCCAUGAAGGGCACGAUCGUGGAGCGGGAGUGCUGGCCCAGCCUGCUGCGUGCAGAGCCCGGGCCAUGCGAAAAUGGGCUUGUGCGGCCACCGCCAAAGCUGCCUGAGAUGCCAGCCGCCGUCGGGGAGGACGGCGGCGCCGCAAGCAUGACUCCUGACGACAGCACCGUUGCCAAGUCAGGGAGGCCACCGCGCCGCCUUGCCGCUGCCAUUGCCGAGGCUGCCGCUGUUGCAGCGGCGCCAAUGCUCAAAGCGGUGGCUGUUCCUGAGGCGCCGGCUGCUGUCGCAGCGCUGGCCGCAUCGGCUGGCGUUGGUUCUGGUGCUACGGCCACCACGCUGUUCUUGCGGGACACGACAGAGAAAGAGCCUCCACGUGACAGCACCCGCGAUCGCUCGGCAUCCACGCCCGCCGCAUUAACAGUGGCUGACGCUACAGCGGCUGCGAAGCCCUGCCGCCGCAGCAGGCCUAGGGCAGCGGCCAGCACGCCCGGCGUUGCUCCAGGGGUGGAGGCCGUGCCGACGCCAGCCACGCCAGCCGCCGCCGCACCUGAAGCUUCCUCCCCUGGCGUGGUCACCGCCACGUUGCCGCCAAUCCGCAGCAGCGACACUCCGUGGCUGCCGCCGGCCGCCGUGCCUUUGUCCAGCGCUGCCAAGGUCCGACAGGACAGCGGCGGUGACCCGGCCGUGCGCAUCAGCCGCUCCGCCGGAUCCUCCGCCCUCACGCACUCGUGCAGGUUGAAGGCUGAGCCGCAGCGUGAGAGCGGCGGCGCUGCAGCUCGGAGCGAGCUAGCGCGUGGCGUCAGACACAGCCGCCCGUCGCGAAGCGAGCCCGCCGCAAUGGCAGCAUCGGCGGCCGUUGCCGUUGAUCCAGCAGGGUUGGCCGCCGCCGUCGCCGCUGCUGCUGCGGCCAUCAGAGCCCAGCGCUGCGGGGAAGUGGAGCGUGAGCCGGCUACGGCCAGCGGUGUCGCAGCCCCCGACGCAAGCUCCGGCAUGUGCUGCGACAUUGCAUCUUCAUCCCUUUCAUCCGGGACCAUCAGAGGCGGCGGCGGCGACGGCGGCGGCUGAUGGUCAUGCGUCCCGCGGUUCCUUCCGCCAGCCACCCAUCCACUGCCACCGAGGGCUGUGACGGCGCCUGCUCCCCCCACCGCCACCGUACCGCUCACGUGAGUGGGCUCCUCCAGGUCAUCCAGCACCAGCGCCACAGCCAUGAGGUUCUCAAACACAAUCGUGCUCGCGCGCGACGCGACCUCAUAAUCCUCACCUCCCUGCCGCAGCCGGAAUGCCCAACUGCCGCCGCUGCUCGCCACCUGUGGGCCACCCUCACCCAGCCGCCGCCGCCAGCUGCUCGCUGCGACAGCUGCGGAACCCGACGCGGCCACUGCAGCGUCUCCAUGCCCACGGGCUGCAUCGGCGCCGCCAGCGGAGUGCCGGCGGGGCCGCCGCUGGACUGCGGCGGCAUACCCAAACGCCGCCGCCGCCAGCGCCACCAGCAAGAUGCCACCUACAACUGCCGGCACGAGAACAGCCAGGUGUAUGCUACUGCCGCCACCGCUGCUGCCACUUCCGUUGCUUGCGCCAGCAGUGCUACUGCCGCCUGACCCACUGCUGCUGCUGGUGCCGUUGCCGGUGCCGUUGGAUCCCGUGGACCCGUCAGCGCCGCCAUCGGCACCAUUGCCGCCGACCUGGCGAGGCGCACUUCCGGCGUUGGCCGAGGGACUGAAGGCCCCGCCGCUCGUGCCACUGCCGCCAUCCGUCUGCAGGCUGGGGCUGGGGCUGUAGCUGCCGAUUUCGUUGACGCCGGUUCCAGUGCCAGUGCCAGUGGUGCCGCGGUCACCGCCGCCGCCGGUCGCACCCGUGGGGUCCGACACACCCGGCGCACCGCCACUGCCACCACCUCCACUACUGACCGGAGUUCCACCUGCACCGACGGGGCUGCCGCUGCUGCCACCUGCCGCCCCGGGUGCCGAUGGCUGCCCACCAGCGGCAGGUGGAGGUGGCGGUGGCGGUGGCGGCGGCCGCAGGCUCUCGGCAGCCGUGACCGCAGCCUGCAGUGACGCCGCGGCUGCAGCAGCGAUGGCCGGGUCUUCCAGAAGCAGGUCCCCACCGCCAAGUCCGUACAGGCUCAGUAGCGUUGGCUUGUCCAUGACACGCGCUCCCAAUACGACCUCACUUUCCGCGGCGGACGGCAGCGACAAUACGGCCGCCACCUUUGCCAUUGCUGUGAAGAAGGACGAGGAAAUGUCGGAGAAGGUCUGCACCGGCGCAUCCGGAGGCGCCGAGGGCGCCGGUGGGUGCUCGCUGGUGGUCGUGCCGCCAUCAUCAGCACUGGCUGUCGCAGUCAGCGCCGCAAUCACUCGCUCGCGUGCGGCCGCAAUGGCUGCCUCCAGCAGAUGCACGGCCGCGAUGCUGGCUCCCGUAGAUGUGCCGGUGGUGCUGUUGCUUGCAGUAGCCACCACCUGGGCCCACAGAGCCGCCUGCGAGCAACAACAAGGUGGGAAGAGCACACUCAGGGACAAGAAACGGGCCGGGAAGAUGCACGCAUACACACUGCCACGCACAUCGCGGGUUGUCGGUAGCUAUAGGCUGUUCAUGCACAUGGUGUCAGGCAAACCCUUGAGUUGUGCGCACCUGUGUCUGCGAGUCUAGGCCACCCGCAUCCACGGCGACGUUGCCUGCGGUUGAAAUGCAGCAGGACAAGCGUGAGCUGGCUUGACACGUGAACAAAGGGCAUGGAGAUAGCAGCGGCCGGGCGCCGGACUCCGAACAAGGCCUGCACACAUUGCUUGCAGAGGCCAUCCGGCCAAAGCCUCGAGCAUGCAUUCCGUACGGUCUACAGUUAGUGCCACUCCCACCUCUCGCCUCCCACCUGUGAGGUCAGACGCGCUACGCAUCUCUGGAGGCCAGUAGUAGGGCCUGGGCGCCGCAAAGAGCCGGGGGUCGGGGUAGAUGAGCAUGUUGAGGCGCAAGGAGCCAGCGAGCACACGAAGCACCUCAAUCUGCGGCAGCACCAAACAUUGGACAUUGGCAUGACAUUUAGACGUCAGCAUGUGACUUCAAGGCUUUUUGGAUCUAGGGCUUGAAUAAUUGGCUGCAAGCAAGCAAUGCAUGCUGCAGUGCAGUUAUGCUCUGGGGUAGACAAUGCCACAUAAUGCACAAACACUCAUGUACACGCCAGCGCUGUGGGGCCGGACCUGUGAGGGCUGCAGCCCGCUGGCAUUGGUGAGCUUGCUGACAAAUGCAGCUUGCGCCGAGGGACCAAAGCUGUCCACCGGGAUGGCGAGUGCGGUGCCCAUCUGUAGCAGCGGCAUCAUGAGGGACGAAGCAUACGGCUCAGGAAAGAAAUAGGUCACAGGGACGUACACUGACAAGUCGAUUGGUAAGCCGGCCACAGCCACUACGCUACGUAUGGAACCGUUGCGGCCGCAUUCCAUGACCUCAACCACCGCAUGCAUGGAGAGAUGGCAGCAUAAUGAUCCAUCCCCCUCCAGUCGGGCACAAACAGCUCACCAUGACGGCUGGCUCGGCACGGACCUCCAGAGUAAGGCCGCCCACCAUUUUCAGCGUCAGUGUUGUGGUCGUUGCAUUCCAAAAGUACGAGCCGUGGGCCGUACCGUCAUACAAUGCCGGCGGGCUGGCUGUCAUAGCGGUUGCGCGAUCACUUGCGUCAGUCAGCCAUACGAAGCGGCGUGACAGACUGGCUGCGUCGAAGCGAAUAACUAGGAUCGUCUCAGAGCCAGGAUCCGCGUACGGCAUCCACAUCUGGAACGAGCGCGGCGCACUUGACUCUGUUUUAGGCGCAUGGUGGGUGGGAACACCGGGGUGACCGCAAUGCCAUCACGGCCCAGAGGCAGAGCGCAGAAUGAAACGCAUUUUCAACGCAUGUCAUCGAGGUAUGUCAGGCAAGCAGGACCUUUACUGACCUGGGUAAAAGGAUAUGUGAGUGGUCCGGCGCGUUGGCAGGCUUGUCCAAAAGGAAGCUAGCCGCUGGCUGCAGCUGGAGGAGCCGGCGGCUGGAAAGCACCAAGACUGCGACGGGAUCGAGAAAAAGUGGCAUACGGUAGGGUUUGUGCACUAGGUAAGGUUGCGCUGCUGAUGAAAGACCCCGCAUGCAUGCACCACACAAGCAAAUUCUCCAGUUUGCCUCGACACCUCACCUGGUCCAUGGCCGGCACCACCACAUCCACAGAGCCCGACACGUUGAAUGCCACCGCCUCCGGGCCGCGGACCUGCAAGCCAGGGCGACAGACAGGAAUUAGAACACGCUGAUGAGUGCACAGAUUUGUCAAAACGUGUCUGAUAAGAUUCCGAGACUCUUUUCAUGUGUGGCCACGUUCCUCUGCUGCUUGUGGCCUUACCUCGGCAUCCGUGUCACGGCUCGCCAACACAAACAGCUGUGGGUCGAAGACACCAGUAGCCCCACUGCCAGCAGGGCCGCCGGCGCACACGUAGGUGCCGAGGUCACCGCGAUAGAUGCAGCCACUGCCCGAAGGCAUCGCCGGCGCCUGUGCCAGCGGCUGAGGUCGCGGGCCAUCUGGUAACGCGCCCAGCACUGUGACCGGGCCGCCCGCAGGCGAAACCCCCAGAGAACCGUCCAGGUCUUUGAAGAGGGCCCGUGAAGGGCCCGCGCAGUUGAGGGGCAGGGGCGUUCCGCCGGCAGUGUAGUUGGCAGUGCCGCAGUCGAGCGGGUUCCGCCAAGCCGGGUCGGGUCCCCGCAUGAGGAACAGGCCUUGGGAAGACCUGUAAGUUGGUCAUUUGCAAAGCCAGACACGGUCAGUUUGCCGCAUCAGUGUAAACACAAACGACGCAAUGUGCAAGCAAACUUAAAACCAGCGUACCCGUCCGUCCUGGUGUUGGCGAGCGUGAUGCGCCGGAGGAAGUGUGGGUGCGAGGCGUCGGGCGCGGUGGGGUUGUUGGCGAAGGCAAAGCUGCCGCCACCGCACCCACUGGCGCCCUCAAAGUCAGCCACUGUGACGCCCGUGAUGUUAGCGUGGCCAAAUACCGUGGGGUAGCCACGCACGGCAUCCCACGUGGAUCCCCCGUCGGGCCCAACAGAGAAGCCCAAUGCAAACGCCGCCGCCACAAAGCCAACCGAAGGCGUGUACGGCAGGGCGCGGUUGUACGACUGGGGCGUCAGGCGCUGGUGGCAGCCCGCGUCAGACGGGCUCGCGCACAGCGCGCACAGCACCGGUGACGUGCGCCCUGCAAGCAGCCCGCCGCGCCAGGACACGCCCGCGCGCUCCGUGAAGCCGCCCUGCCGCAGCAGCGCCGCGCCGGCGUGUCGGUUGUCCAGCAAUGCAACGUCGUACAUCCGCACGUCCGUGUCGAUGCCGCGCAGCGUGAGCAGGCCAUAAUCCCAGUUGGUGUGCGCCGUGAAGUUGGAGAGCGCGGUGCAGCCCACACCACUGGAUGCGACACUGGCGCGAAGCCAUGCGCCCACAAGACACGAGUGCGCCGUGUUGUUUUGGAACGAGCCACGCGUCCACGCGACGGGUCCCACAUCCCAAGGCUCGGAGGGAGGCGACUGUGGAGGGGGCGCAGGCGGUGGCAGCCGGGUCGGCACCGGCGCAGGGGCCGCCGAGGGCGGCGGGAUGGCAGGCGGAAGCGGGCCCGGUGCUGGCACGGACGGCGCGCGUGGAGGCGACGGCGACGUUGUUGGUGGAGUUCGGAUCGGCGGCCGGGAGGCGGGUGGCGAUGCAGAUGGUGGCGCUGAGGGCUGAGUGCACGGCAUGCCCUGAUACACAAAGCCAAAGCGGUCGGAGCCUGCCGCUACGUUUCCCUCAACCCAGUUCGCUGACUGGGAGAGCAGGAAGUUUGCGGGCGACACCGAGGCCGGGCCGGAGGUAGCGCCGGCAGCCGUGCUGUUGCUGUUGGCGGUUCUGUUGGUUGCUGCAAUCGCGCCCAGUGCAAGGUUGUUGUAGAGGUGGUUGCCCGUUGUCAGCAGCUGGACGUUGGAGACGGCAUAGGAGCCGUACAAUACGUUGCCGUACAGCUCGACACGAACCGUGGGACUCUGGCUCCCCAGCACUGCCACGUUGCCUCCCACGCCCGCCACGAUUGCCGAAUCGUACAUGUACGAUUGGCUGCUGCUGAUGUCAGAUUCACAGCUGGUGCUACUGCCAUCGCUGCUUCCGUCGCUGCAGCGGCUACUGCCGUCGCUGUCGUCGCCAUUUGCCGGCGCAGGCCUGGGUGAGAGGCUUUGGAACAGCACGCAAGGCCGCUGCUCCUGGCCCACAGCCGCCAACUGCCCGCAGCGCUCCACCACCACGUUGGUUAGCUGUGCCGAGCCGGUACCAACCACCAGCAGGCGGGCGCCGUACGGUACGGCAGCGGUUGACGGGCCGUCAUUGGCUCCGGGGCUGCCGUACAGGCGGUUGAGAUCCAGGGACGGUUCCGAUGCCAGAGGCUGCGUACCGUUGGCGGCGGUGAUGGUGGCGUAAGCCUCCGCCGCCGCGAUGCCCACGUUUGAGGACAGCAGCGCCACCUCUGCGCGCAGGUCCACGGACAGCGUGGCAUUGCCACUGCUGCUACUGCCACCACUGCCGCUGCUGCUACUGCCGUUGCCACUGACGGGGUAGCUGCGGCCGCGCGCGGCGUGAGGGUGGCGGAGCGGCGAGUCCAGGACCAGCGCAGUCAGGUUUCCUGCACCCGCCGUGCUGUCCGCGGGCUGCGCCACGACUCCCGUGAUGCGCCGGACUUCCGUCUGGUACUGAUUGUACGACGUGGAUGCGAUCAUGACGCGAUCCCCGACCUGGAUUCCACGUAGCUCGCCGGACGGAGAUCCUGAGAUCCGAACGGACGUGUCGCCGGGCGCUGCCGCCCGGGCCAGCCGCAUCCAGCGGCGGGUGACCGACCGGCCGUGUAGACUCAGCCGGCCGCCGGCCGCCACCAGCAGGACCUGCAAGUGGAGAGGCGAAUAGAUAAAUUUGCACACACGCUUGCCAGAAUGCUCCUUCCCAGAAGAUGUGCAUGUGUGGGAAUGCAUGAGCGCAGGACCGGUGUCGAUUCGCCCCGACGGUCAUCAUAACAGCCCUGAUGGUGGCCGGAUUGCCGACGCCGCCGCACCUUGCUGCCGAUGUUGCUCCCAGCAGGGUAGCCGGGCCCGGCCAUAGCUGCUUCCAAGGGCGGCAAUAUGAAGCCCUGAUCGCUGGGCGAGCCGGUCAGCAGCACGCGCGCCACUGUGGGGUGCGGCGAGGCCGUGCUCCCAGCUGCCAACAGACCCUGGGUUGGAACAUGGGUUGCGUGGUGUGUGUGUCGAGGCGUGUACUUAGUUGGGUACAGACACAGAGGCACUUGCAGCGGUAUGAGGCGUGACAGCAUCUGUGCCAGCAAGGCGCGACACGUGCUACCAAGUGCUGCUGCUGCUAGCUGUUGAGCGGCCAGGAAUACAAAACUCACCCCUGCCAGCACCAUCACUGCGGCGGCGGUGAGGGUGAUGUCCUGCAGGGGGUCAAACCGCAGCGACCCAAGCACCACCAGCGACCCAAGGGCCGGCGGGCUCUCGUCCAGCAGCAGCGCCCAGCCCGCCGGGACCGUCACGUUGGCGCCGGGGCCGGGUUUGCCGCCUGUCACGUUCGCCCAGGUCGUGUCUCGUGACCAGCGAAGGAACGGGUCUGGCGGCGGCGGGCUGGGCGCUGGAGGCGGAGACGGAGGCUGAGGAGGCUCAGGGCUGGGUGGAGCAGGAGACGGUGGCGCCGGGCUUGGCGGAGGGGAGGGCGGGAGUGGGGAAGGGGGAGCGGGGGAAGGAGGGUCAGGCGACGGCGGCACGGGGCUUGGAGGAGCAGGAGAAGGCGGUGCUGGGCUGGGUGGCUCGGGCAAAGGCGGGCCAGGGCUGGGCGGCGCGGGGGAUGGUGGCGCUGGGCUUGGGGGCACAGGGCUCGGUGGGGGAGACGAUGGCGGCUUCGGGUUCGGCGGGACAGGCGAAGGUGGCGCGGGGCUGGGCGGGGCCGGUGACGGUGGCGCCGGGCUGGGAGGGGCUGGCGAAGGCGGGCCAGGCGCGGGGGAUGGGGGCGCCGGGCUCGGAGGCAUAGGGCUCGGUGGGAAAGGCGAUGGCGGCCGCGGGCUGGGUGGGUGCGGGGACGGCGGCCCAGGGCUGGGCGGGGCCGGGGACGGCGGCCCAGGGCUGGGCGGCGCGGGGCUGGGCGGCGCCGGGCUAGGGGGCGCCGGGCUGGGCGGCGGGCUGGGCGGCGGAAGCGGCGGCGCGGGAGGUGGCGGCAUGGGCGGCGGUGACGUGUUCGCCGCCACAAUGGCAGCCCGUAGCGUGGCGUCCAGGGCCCCGCGCGUGCCCGUGUUCGCCAGCCACGCCCCGUCGGCGCCUCCACACACGCCCGCUAGCACGGGACCGCCACUAAUUGCCAGGCCGUUCACGGCCGGCGUCGGCGGCCACGCCAGCAUCACCCAAGCCCGAUACAGAUCUGCCAGGUACGCUGACGUCAGCUGCACAGCCAACGCAGGUGCCGGGGGUGCCGGGGGUGGCGGCGUCCAGGACGCCAGCAGCCCACCUCCCGCGGCUGCCGCCGCCAUCGCCAGCUGCUGUGCCCAGCUGUAGUCAUCAUCAGUGCUGAGCGCUGCCGCCGCAGCGGCGGCGGUUGCGUUUGCCAAGGCUGCGGCCACCGCCGCAGCCUGUUGCUCCUCGUUUGCGUUGACGAGGCCAGACCAAAUGGUCGCUAGAAGUGCUCCUUGCGUCCCUGCGUCCAGGCCGCCUGCGGUGCUGCACCGGGCCGGCUGUGGGAAGGCGUCUGGCCGACUGAUGUUAGAAUCUGCGGCCGGCGGGUAGAUGUGCACAGCCACAGGCAGCGUGGCUUGGCCACCACUGGUGGCUGCGGUGGCUGCGCUUGCGUCUCCAGGGUAGAGCUGCUGGGGCAGGGGCAUGACCUCUAUGCGCAGGGGAUCCAGGCCGGCUGCGGUGGCAAGGGCGGAGGCAAGCGCCCGCCGCGCCGCAAGUGUCAUCGGGACCGAAGUGACGGUGGCGUUCAGGCGCACCUGGUGACAAGGAUAGAGCGUGACGGGGCACAGUUGUGAGGAACGAUUGGAGGAAGGUACAGAAUAUGCGGACAAACAACAUAAAGGGGCAAGCAUCAAGGCCUCAAGCAAAGGCAGUCGGCCGCCGAGGCUCACCGGCACAGCCGCCUCCGUGCGGACCUCCAGUGACCUGCCGCCGCCCACCAUCUUGACGACAAGCCGCCCGCCGUCCACAUCCCACCAGUACGACCCGUGGGGCGUACCGUCGUACGGCGCAGGCGGGCCAUAUGACAAACGCUGCCCCCGCCCGCCAGCACUGCUGCUACCGCUUGCUCCAAACACGGUGUUAGCAACAAGUGGCGGCACCCAUGCAAAGCGCCGCGCCGCCGUACAGUUAGUAGGGAAGUCAAACGCCAUCACAAGCUCGGCGCUGGGGCUCGCGUACGGCAUCCAGAGCUGGAACGAGUCCGGGACCGAGCCUGCAGCCGUGAAUAGUUGGAGGAAUUAUCACUUGGCACAAAGGCGCAGCGCUUGCAUCCCUGCCCGAGCUUGCCAACAGUGCCCUACCUGUGAAGGAGACAUCCACAGAACCUCCUGUGGGAAGCACUGACCAAAACGCCGCAAGUCGCCGCUUGCAGGAUGCGGAUCCCAGGCACCAGCCCUGUGGGGCGAUAUGGCAACGGGGCAGCAGAAACAUGUUUAUGGUGUGACCCUCUGCCAAGUGCGCCUGCGCGUGGACAAAUCCGAUCCCUAUCCCCCUGAACAAGCACACACACGCCCCCACCUGGUCCAUGGCCGGCACCACCACAUCCACAGAGCCCGACACGUUGAACGCCACCGCCUCCGGGCCGCGGACCUGUGGAAACAAGUAGGGGCAGUCAGUGGCAGCCACCGCAUAGUAUUAUCAUAAUAUUAUGCCCAAAGCGCAAUACGGUACGGUAUCGGUAACGUGCUUCAUGACCUUCUCACCCUACUACGGUAUGCUACCCUUGCUUGCUGGCUGGCUUACCUCGGCAUCCGUGUCACGGCUCGCCAACACAAACAGCUGUGGGUCGAAGACACCAGUAGCCCCACUGCCAGCAGGGCCGCCGGCGCACACGUAGGUGCCGAGGUCACCGCGAUAGAUGCAGCCACUGCCCGAAGGCAUCGCCGGCGCCUGUGCCAGCGGCUGAGGUCGCGGGCCAUCUGGUAACGCGCCCAGCACUGUGACCGGGCCGCCCGCAGGCGAAACCCCCAGAGAACCGUCCAGGUCGUUGAACAAGGCCCGUGAAGGUCCCGCGCAGUUGAGGGGCAGGGGCGUUGCGCCGGCAGUGUAGUUGGCAGUGCCGCAGUCGAGCGGGUUCCGCCAAGCCGGGUCGGGUCCCCGCAUGAGGAACAGGCCUUGGGCAGACCUGUGGGAUGGUCAUUUGCAAAGCCAGAAGCAGUCAGUUUCCGUGCGCAUCAGAGUGAACACAAAUGGCGCAUUUGCAAGCAAAAUUAAAACCAGCUUACCCGUCCGUAUUGGUGUUGGCGAGCGUGAUGCGCCGGAAGAAGUGUGGGUGCGAGGCGUCGGGUGCGGUGGGGUUGUUGGCAAAGGCAAAGCUGCCGCCGCCGCACCCACUGGCGCCCUCAAAGUCAGCCACUACCACUCCGUCGAUCAAGGCCAUUCCAUUUACGGUCGGGUAACUGGCUACGGCGUCCCAUGGACUUCGGUCCGGUCCGACUGAGAAGCCCAACGCAAACGCCGCCGCCACAAAUCCAACCGAAGGCGUGUACGGCAGAGCGCGGUUGUACGACUGGGGCGUCAGGCGCUGGUGGCAGCCCGCGUCAGACGGGCUCGCGCACAGCGCGCAAAGCACCGGUGACGUGCGCCCCGCAAGCAGCCCGCCGCGCCAAGACACGCCCGCGCGCUCCGUGAAGCCGCCCUGCCGCAGCAGUGCCGCGCCGGCGUGUCGAUUGUCCAGCAAUGCCACGUCGUACAUCCGCACGUCCGUGUCGAUGCCGCGCAGCGUGAGCAGGCCAUAAUCCCAGUUGGUGUGCGCCGUGAAGUUGGACAGCGCGGUGCAGCGGCCGCCGCCACCACCGGGCGCGGCGGCCCGAGACGCCGCGCUAGAUCGAAGCCACAGCCCCACCAAACAACCGUGGGCGGUGUUGUUGCGGAACGAGCCGAGCGCCCACACGCCAGCCGAUCCGCUACUGCUACUGUCAUUGGCACUGCUGCUGCCUUGGCCUCCACUGGUAAGGCUAGUGCUGCUACUGUUCUCGAAGAUUCCAGCCAGUGCUUCAAUUGCUGUUAGAUCAAUGCAUGGAGUGCCCUGUACGGCAAACCCAAAUGCGUCACUUCCUGCUGCCACGUUGCCUUCCACCCAAUUCCCUGGAUCCCUUAUGUAGAAGUUGCUCAGCACUCGUGCGCGGUACGCAGUGCUUUUGCUGCUGUUGCCAGUGCUUGCAACUAUGUCUCCGCUGUUGCUGGCAUUCAGUGGAUGCGGCACCUGCUGCGGCAGCAAUGUCGCUGCCGCGCCGCCUGCUGUCAAUGCUCCAAAUGCUACACCCCCAUCCCAUACUGCUCCCAAAGCCAAGUUAUUCUUGAUGAGAUUGCUGGAUGACAGUACCAAAACAUUAGAGGCUCCGUAAGUGCCGUACAAUGCGUUGUCUUCUAGCGCUACUGCUGCUACUGCUGCUGCCGAUGAAUUUGCGGGUGAUACCGCAGUAGUGUUGGUGGUGUUUCUGAUGUCUGCGGAUGCUGGCGCUGUUGAUGCUCCGGCAAUGGCAAUGCUGCCACCCACGCCAAAGGCAAUGGCACUUCCUCGUAUAUACAAUUGCGCGCCUGCUGCGCUGCUGAAGGUGCUAUUGGCAGCUCCGUUGCUACUGCUGCUGUUGUUGCUACUGCUGCCGUUGGUAGCUGCUGCUCCUGCUACUGCUGUUUGCAGCAAGUCCUGGAACAAGACGCACGGCCGAAGCAGCGAGCCGUCCAGCUGUCCGCAGUACUCCACAGCCGCGCCCACCAACCGUGCCGUACUGUUGCCCGCCACCAGGAGGCGGGCGCCGUACGUGACCCAGGCCGCCGUUGUACUGCUGUUGCUUGAGUUGGAUCCACUUGCAGCCGAUGGGGGGCUGCCGUACAGAUCGGAUGGCGGCAGGCUGCCCGCCGCCAUGCUGUAAGCCUCCGCCGCCGCGAUGCCCACGUUUGAGGACAGCAGCGCCACCUCUGCGCGCAGGUCCACGGACAGCGUGGCAUUGCCACUGCUGCUACUGCCACCACUGCCGCUGCUGCUACUGCCGUUGCCACUGACGGGGUAGCUGCGGCCGCGCGCGGCGUGAGGGUGGCGGAGCGGCGAGUCCAGCACGACCGCCGUCAGGUUGCCGUCUGCGGACGCCGCACCGCCGCCGCCGCCGCCAUCCACCGCUGCAAGGGCGCUGUACGGCAGCACGGCCACGAUGUACCGCACCUCGCUCUGGUACUGGUUGUACGAACUGGAUCCAAUCAGGACGCGGUCUCCGGGCUGCCAGCUUCCGUCCAGGUCCGACAGCGGCACGUCGAGUCGAAGCACCGUGUCACCCGGGGCGGCGGGGCGCGCCAGCCGGGUCCAGCGCCGCGCCUGCGCCCGGCCGUGCAGGUCGAGUGUGCCACCGCCCAGCACCGCAAGCACCUUGGUCCCGAGGUCUGCGCCCGGUGCAAAGGGCGCUCCUGACGCAUUCGGGACGCGCCAGCCGGGGUCCCCACGGAAGCCGGUCAGAAGGAUGCGCGCGGCGCGUGGGUGUGGCGCGCCGGGGGCUCCAGCUGAGAGGGAUCCCUGUGUGUUAUGACAAGAUAGCGGGGUAAGAGGGGGCGGCGAAGUUUUACACACAGAAAGGGCGAAGGCACGAAACAGAGAACAUCGUUACACAAGCAAGGUGAUUUCGUCGUUGCCCAAAAGCACCCAGCCCCCACGGCGCCACUACCGGUACGUCACUCACCCCUGCCAGCACCAUCACUGCGGCGGCUGUGAGGGUGAUGUCCUGCAGGGGGUCGAACCGCAGUGACCCAAGCACCACCAGCGAUCCAAGGGCCGGCGGGCUCUCGUCCAGCAGCAGCGCCCAGCCCACCGGGACCGUCACGUUGGCGCCGGGGCCGGGCUUGCCGCCUGUCACGUUCGCCCAGGUCGUGUCUCGUGACCAGCGAAGGAAGGGCUCUUGCUCCUCGACAAACUGUGUGGGACAGCCGACAGAAGGGCAGGAUCCAGAUUGGAUCCGAAGUAGGGCGUUGCUGCCUCCUGCGAGAAAGGUGGUGAGCGCGGUGUCGUUGAACCGGGCAACGGUGCCGUUUCCGGUGCCCAACCACCUCCAGCCGUUGGUCGUGAAGGUUCGGUUGUACGACGUGGCGCCGUGAGCGGUUGACACGCUGGCGGCGGGCCGAGCGCUCGCCGUAACGGUUGUACUGUUGACGGUGAAGGUGCCAUUGAUGGUGUAGCGCGUGGUGAUGUAGGAGAAGUGGUUGGAGGCAUUCAGGAGGUCCAGGCGGUACAGGCUGCAAGCAAAUAGGCACGUAAAAGGGAAAGUCGGCCGUGGCUAUCAAAGCGGGUCACAGAGCUACGAGAGGCGCGCACCAACUUUAUUGACAACCUGCACUGACAUCUGCUGUCACGCGGUACCCUCUAUCAUUGUGUGCGUGAUGGUCGUGAGCUGGAAGUGAGCACACUAGCGUGCGUCGAUCGUACUUACUUAUAAGAGGUCGCGUCGACACGGAUGCCCGUGGGCGCGCGCCAAUGGAUCCAAAACUCGCGGCCGCCGGUUGGAAGUGUGACCAUGUACGAUGCUUCAUUGACCGCGACAUACGGCACCACGCUGCUGCGGUUCGUGGCCGCGUUCACAACCACCAUUUCGGUUGAGCCGAUGGUGGCCGGCGCCACGGCCACGUGCAGGCGCCGGAAGGGCCCCACGCGCGGCGCACACACGGCGGCCGUGUUGGAGGAAGGCCAGGCCGCGGCGCCGCGCAGGUAGACACACUCGCUGGGCUCAAAGAGGGUGUUGUUGAUCGCGCUGUGGAAGGUACUCCCAGCCCAAGGCGGCGGCGCGACUGCUGCUGUGGAACCCGGGGCGGCUGUCGUGGUGUUGGCGGCGGCUGGGAAGGCGGCGGGGUAGGACAGGUAGGUUGAGAGCUGGGCGGCGGACAGCAAGGAGCCAUCUGUGUCCUCGUAGAUGCCCUGUGAGCAACGAGGUACGUGAUGAACGAAGGUGCAUGGCAACGUGUCAUAGCACUCAUGGUAAGGCCCGUGCAUGGUGGCCACGCACUGCUCUAUCUCAACGUGAGACGACCCCGUGUGAGCCCUUUCUGUAGUCUUAUGCAUCCCUCACCCACCUGCUGCAACCAGCUCCAGGCCGCCAGCGCAGGGCGCCGCGUGCCUGACCUUGCGCUGCUGCUCGCGUUGCUGCCGUCCGUCCCAGCCGCAGCCCCUCCCGCGCCGGUGCCGACAGCAUCCGCCAGCUCUACGAACUGCAGCCCCGCGGUUUGCGUUGUGCAGCCGCCCUGGAGUGACAGGCAGCGCGCACACGCCUCCAGCGCAAACAGCUGCGGCGGCGGCGGCGCCACGGCCCCCGCAAUGGACAGCGGCACGGCGACGGUGAAGUUGGCAAAGGUGACGUUCACCAGGGCCAGGCCGCACUGGUGGUAGGAGCUGCCCUGGGGCGUGCUUUGCGUGGCGACGCCGGCGAUACGGCGGGUGGCGUUGGGCCAGCGGCCGGCGGUGCCGACGGCGCCAGCCGCGGUGCGGCCGAAGAGCGUGGUGGAGAAGACACCGGCCAGGUUCGUCAGGCCAGCGGUGAUCCUGAUGCAUCACGAAUGGCAGCAGUGACAUGUGUUAUUAUUACAGGUGUCGGGAACGUAGCCAUUCCUGCCAACUACCGGGCUUGUGGGUAAGAUCACACCCACUGACGCCAGCAAACACACGUACGCACCUGGACCUGUCAUCGUGCACCCACGCAAUCUCGGCCUGUGCCCCGGUCUCCUUGAUGAGUGUGGUGUUCGGUGUCACAGGUCCGCCGCCGUUAUCGCCCAGCGCCAUUCCGCGGAACUGCACCAGCCCCACCUGCAGAGCAGAGGAUGCGAUGGGGUGAAGAGGCAUCCAGUUUGGUGUGGCAAAAUCACUUUACCAGCAAUUCAUUGGCAUGCUCACUGCCUGUGCGCCGCUCCUCGCACCCCACAGCACCGCGCCCCCGACGACUCACCACGCUGGCGGCCGCGCCCUUGAGUCCGCACUUGAAUGCGGUGAGGCCGUCGAACACCGCCGCGGCCUGCUGCAGCGGGGCGGCGUAGCGGCUGCAGGGGCUGGCACGUGGGAAGUACUCGGGGUGGACGCGCAGUCCAUACAGCAGCGCCGAGUGCGCUGUGUUGGAGGCAAACCCCCCACUGCUGACGCUGCCGUUGCUGCUACUGCCGUUGCUGCUACUGCCGUUGCUGCUGCCGAUAGGGACAGUAGGCAUGGCUGUGAAGCGCGGGCAAGUGCUGUAGAAAGCGGCAGUGGCCAGAGUGGAGCCGGAGCCCUCCGGGGCAUCUGGCAGGCGGUAGAGGAAGCCAGUGUGAUCGGAGCCCGCUGCCACAUUGUUCCUGUAGUUGCAAUCAAGGGGUUGUGCUCGUGAUGCUCGUCGCGCUUGACACGGCAACCCAACAGCGCCACGCAUCCCAGGUUUGCCUCCGGUGCCCCUCUGCUGGGAUGGUCCAUGCCACACGUUUCCUAGCUAGCCCACAGACCGACAGCUUUAGAUAGACCGCUGAGAGAGCAUCCAACGCCCGCACCUACUGCACACGAGAGAACACCUUAGGCCCAACCACCACAGGCCCAACCCACGUGCCUGAGUGUGUUGUUGGGGUUGGCGACGUAGAAGGUGGCUGGGUUGCCAGCAUCCCACGCGGCAGUCGGCGGCAGCGCUGGGUUGGCGUUGGUCAGGAUGCCCACGUUCCCAUCCAGCACGUUGCCGUACUCCGUGCCCUCUUCCAGCACGAAACCGUGCCCGUACACUUCGUACAGCACGUUCCGCUCCAGCACCAGUCCGCUGGUGUUAGUCACGACAAAACCCCGGGCGUACGCGUCACGCAGCACGCAGCCGCGGACCCAGGAUGCGCCAAAGCUGCCGGCAGCCGCGGUGCUACUGCUGCUACUGCUGCUGCUACUGCUGCUGCUGCUGCUGCUGCUGCUGCUGCUGCUGCUGCCGACAUCACCCUGCUGCAGCCAAUGCAGCGAGUAGGCUCCGGUGCGGAACGCCUGCCCCAUGCGGCGCAUGGCCACAUGACUCAGCCGCACGGCGGCUUUGGGACCUUGCGCGAGGAGUGACGGCGGCGUGUGGACCAACACCUGUUUGGAACACAAAGCACGCCGUGUGUUUGAGAUCAAAUGGUACCCACCCCACCAGCCAGAUGGAUCUUCAAGCACACUAUGUAACAUUCCAAAGCAGUCAAAGCAUCAACGACUGCAUGUACCAGCACCGGUAGGUGAAAAGCGGUAUCGGAGAAAGCGCUGCCACGGGAACUCCACUCACCCUGGCCCCGAACAUGGAGUUUGCGGACGCUGCGUCCCCCUGCAGCACCACAUUGCGACUGAGCAGCGCCACAGUAGCGCGCAUGUCCAGUGGCUGGGCGGGGCGCGUGAGUCCGGCGGCGGUGGCCGGCGGCGCCACCACCACUCCCAGGUGCGUGUAGCUCAGCGGCGCGUCCAGAGCCACACGGCUCACGAUGUCGCCUGAGGUUGAGCUGUUGGUGGUGGUCACGGACACGACAGUCGCCUCGUCCACCUCAUCCGCGAAGAAGGAGCUGCUCGCAAUCACGAUGCGGUCACCGGCCUGUGUGUGAGAGGGCAGGGCGGCAGGAGGGGAUGGGCAGUGGAAGAUGGCAUUCGCCUCAGCACAGCGCGGACCAGCGUUCUAUCAUCCUUAUGUUCAUGAGCAAAGCGCUUCGCAACGACUCACAAGCACACCCGAACCCGCCGCCCUAGCACCCAACCCUGCCAUGCUGCGCACCUUCCAGUCGACUGCCCCGUUGACGAGGAUUGCGCCAUCGCCCGGGUUGGCGGUGAUGUUGAGGGUGGUGUACGGCGGUGAGCGGGGUGUGCCGUACAUCUCCAGCACGCCCUGCCGUACCGCAAUCACCUUGGUGCCGUACAACGCCAGCCCGCCCGCAGCGCCGCUAGCACCAUCAUCCACACAGCCCGAGACGCCGCCGCUGUCAUCCGGCGAUACUGCUGGCGGGUUCCCGAUCAGUGUGAUGGUGGCGGCUGAGGCGUAUGGCUGGUCUGCAGAGCCCACACUCAGCCGGCCGCCACCGUCUAUCAGGAUGCUGCGCGCCUGCAGCUCCAGCGCCGGCUGCGUGUCGUCAAACACAAGCCAGCCCAGCACCAGCAGCGCUCCCAGAGGCGGCGGGCUCACAUCCAGCAGCAGCGCCCGCCCCGCCGCCACUGCCACGUCGUCUCCGGCCUGGGGCAGCCGCCCUGACGGCCAGGAGGAGGGGGAGGACCAAGCGUCCAGGUAUCGGAACGAGGCGGCUGGUGGCGACAACGUGCUUGUGCCGCUGGUGCUGCCAUUGGGACCCGCGCUCAGGGCGCCGGACACGCGGCCUGGCGUCGACACCACCACAUCCAGCCAUUGCCCCGGAACCACCACCGCCGCCGCCGCCGCAGCUGCUCCGCCGGCUGCCACCGGCGCCAGAAGCGGCCCGGUCACGCACGUAAUGGCGUCGCUGGAUAGUACGUUGACGUUGCCGCAGGGCACGCCGCCGAUUGUGACAUUCAUCUGGGCGGCGGCGGUGACGUCGAAGCCGCUGCCGGACAACCGGAGCGCCGUGCCGCCUGCAACAGGGCCCUGCGUCGGGCUCACCGCCGUAACCCACAUGCCGCCCGCUGCCGCAAAGGUGAACGUCACGUUGCUGAAAGUCACCUCAUCUGCGCCCGGCGCCGGCGUCACCGACAGCGGCAGCGUCGCGCUUGCCGCCCCGGCGGGCAGCGCCACCGCGCCCGUGCGGCAGCGGAAGCUACUGGCAUCCAUGGCCAGCACCGCGCACGCGCUGCCACCGAAGCGGGCGGCAGGCGGCGCCGCUGGGUCCAAUGAGUGACCGCUGCUCACCACGGUGACCUCGGUGCCGCCGCUGGCGGGGCCCUGCAUCGCUGAGCCUGGCGCAAAGCCGGACACCUGGAGCGCCGCGGUCCAAGAGGCGGCGGCGUAGCCGCACCCCAGCGGCGGCGCACACAGCCACAGCGUGUAGGUGCCAGCAGGCACGUAGGCAGGGAGCUGGCAGCGCAGCGUCUCGUUGUAGCUGGUGCUGCCAAGGCUGCUGGCGUUGACACGCGCGUCGCUGCAGUUGAGCACCAGGGGCUGUAGCAGCAGCGGCCCAGCCCCAGCGGUGCUACUGCCACCGCGCGCCACCGCCACCAGCUCGACCGUGGCGGCGCUGCUACUGCCGGCGGCCGACGCGUUCCAGGUCCCGUUGCUACUGCCAGCCAGUGACACCUGCCAGCUGAUGACCAGCGCAACACCUCCGGAUGGCUGCAACCCGGCUGCCACUGUCGCUGGCGCAACGCUUGUGACCGCUGGUGUGCGGCCGCCGCAGAAAGCAAGCGUGCCGGUGACCUCUGUGGCCGUAGGCGGCACAACACCUGAGUUGAAGACUCGCAGUCGCCACCUCAGCACGCUUCGCAGCGUGGCGUUACCAGUCAGGUAAGUUGCUGGCGGCGCCAGCGCGCCCGUGCUGAUGCUGCCACCACCUCCGGCUACGGCCGCCGCUGCAGCUGCGACAGCCGACGCCGGCAAGUCGGCAAGGCUGUAGCGGCCAAUCCUGAACACGGCUGUAGCGCCGUCGCUGGAGAGCAGCUGCAGCGGCAGCGCGCCUGCCGCCGCUGCCACAAGCGGCGGCGGAGGCGCGCCAAGCCAGGCGCAAGAGGCGGAGGCAGUAGCAACACAAAUGCCGUUUGCUGGGCUGUCCCAUUCGAGGAACAUGGUCCUGCCGAGGGUGGCAUUGGUCAACCCCGACACGAAGCCCACUCCCGCCAGAGUCACGGUAGAGCCGCCGAAGAUGGAUAGCUGCAAACAGCAAGGUUUAAAUGAGAAAAUAGGUUCAGCUUGAAUUAUCAUCAAAGAGCGCACGCACAGGGCAUGUAACACGCGCAGGGGAGGCCGCAGGCAUCCACACAAAAUCAACAAAUCACACCGGCUUGCGAGCGCGUACGUGCUUGACCGCGCAACACACCUGGCAGUCCUGCUGAUUGGCGGUGCCGGACAGCGGCUGCUGCCGCAGCACCCGCAGGGGGUACGUCAGCACUGGCAGCUCAGCACGUGGCGUGGCUGGAGGCCGCGCCAGGCCAUAGCCCGCCACGCUGACGUUCAACGGCCAAUCGCCCGCCGGCAGCUUCGGCACGAUGCAAGACAUCCGCGUCACGUUGACGCCGCCAUUGCCCGACAGCGCCGCCGAGGAAGCCGCAUCCAGGGCAACCGUUGAAACCGGUCCGGUAGCCGUCGGCACACACGGCCAACCGCCAACGGUAACGGUCACAUCACGUGCGGGGCUAGGCGUGAGCCAACUGCCGUACACGUUGGCGGUCCACGCCGACGUGUUCGUGUCGAGCGGGUACGACAGCGCUGGGACCUCCACGCCAGCGGGCGCCGCCGUCACCGCUGCCACCAGCGUCGGCGUGGCAUAUGCCGUAUACAACAGGCCGCAGGCGGAGGCGUUGGAGGGCAGGGUGAUGUUGGAGGGCUCAAAGCUAAGGUCUUGCUGCCCCGGUGCGGUGCGCAGGCUGACUUGCGCGCCGGCGCAGGCGGCGGCGGCAGGUGCGCCGUUGACGCUGAGCGUGAGCGGCAGCAGUGUGCCAGGCGGCACCGGGGUCGCCUUGGUCCAGGGGAAGGAGGUGGCGGCACUGGGGGACACAGCCAUGUAGACACGGGACACGCUGGAGCCGCCUGCCUGGUAGAAGGCCCUGCAUGACGGGUAAGAGGUUCGACAGAGAAACGGGUGCCAUUUUCUUGUUCGGCACGUUGCCGUGUGGUAAGGGACGAAAAUGGUAGGAGCUGGCGGGCGAGGCAGGCAGCCUGUGAAAUAAUGCGGGCCACACGCACAGCAUGUCUGGCAGUGGCUUCUUGGUACUCACCACACGAACUUGUGCACGCCGGCGCCCAGCGGCAGUGUCAGGGUUCGCCCGGUGUCCGCCACCCAUGCGUCAUCAAUCAGCAGCCGGCCGCCGUCAUCCGCGGCGAUCUGGAAGGUCACGUUCUCCGCGCGGGUAAACUGUGAUGGUGCGAGUGACGAACCGGGAAUAGAAUGCAGAAGUUAGAAAAGGGGCACAUGGCGCGGAUCACACAAGCAGAUGGCGCUGAUGCUUCAGGAUGCGGAGCAGAAUGCGGAGCAGAGUGCGGAGCAGAAUGCGGAGCAGAAUGCGGAGCACAAUUGAUGCGCUCUGCAUGCAUCUACGCCCAUAGCUGGCGUGGGUGUGAGCUACCAGUGGGGACCUAGUCCGCCUGUCCCGCAGCACACCUGGACGUAGAAGGUGAAGCGGAUGCCGUAGUACUCGGGUUGCAGGAUGCCCGGUGGGAAGAUGGGCGGCAGCGUGCCAACCGUGUGGUCGAAGUUGGCGCUUGGGACCAGCACCGUCGCGGCUGCGCGGCGUGCAGAACGAGCGACAGCGGGAGGGAUGUAAGAAGCUGUGGUAGUCUGUGUGACAUGAAUGUGACACGUGUGCCUUGGCGCCAACGAACCCCGGGCCUGGGGGUGGUGCUAGCCCCGUCAUUGGCUCGAGUGCCAUGCCCCGCACGCACUUGGUGUCACAUUGAAGCUCUCGACAAGCGGCCGGAAACCAGAGAACGGCGCCAGGUUCCAGAUCUCAGCCAGGAUCCAGCCAGUCAACGGCGGCGCCGUACAGGUCAGCGUUGUCGUACUGCUGACGUUGACCACGGGGCACGGCAGGCCCGCGGGACCCAGCAUCCCCGCGCCCACCGUCACGGCGUGAGCGGCGGGCGUGUCGGGCUGUAGCAGAGGCCCACUUCCGGCUGUAGCAAGGGAAAGCGUGACGGGCAGGCCGCCAGCCAGCGAGACGGCACGAGGGCUGACGGACGCCAGGGUGGGCUGGUAGCUGAAUACCGCUCCCUGUGAUGUUUGGCAGAGCAGGGCCGGCGCAAGCAUACAUUUGAGCGUUAGUUAACCCGCGCAGCCAUAGCCCGACCGUAAGACGGAACCAUGGAACCCACGUGUAGAUCCCGCCAACCCCAACCACUAGGACAGCACCUGAUACGGGUCAAGCGACAUGCUGCCAGACGGCAGCUCCACCACCAGGCUGUAGCGCCCCGCCCGCAGCGCCGCUGGCACGUCGCAUGCUACAGCCGUCAGCACGCCUCCUGCAGAUCCGGAUGCUACUGCCGGCGGCGUCGCCGCAUCCAGGCUGCAUGACGCCUGCGCCACGGCGCUACUGCCGCUGCUGCUCGCAGCGCCACUGCUACUACUGCUGCUGCUGGCCGCGCCAGUGCCGGUGCUACUAGCAGCGUUAAAGAAGCGCGCCGUGGUGGCGCCUGUGAGCCCGCGGCCCACAAUUGUGAUCCGCGUGCCGGCGCCCCCGGCGCUUGGCAGCACGUACCCCAACACGGGUGUGGCGGCGGUUGUGUAGGCGUAGCGGCAGCCGUUACUGACGGUACAGCGAGAUGUUGCAACCGGGAAGGUGCCGAACGGACAGGUACUCGGCAGGCUCGCACUGGGGCCCGCACUGGUUGAGCCAGUGCCGGAGCCGCCGUUGGCGCUGGCGUUGUUGCUAACAGCCCGGCAAAGCAUAACCACCACGGCCGCCGCCGGCGUGACCUUGGGCAGGCGCUUGGCCGCCAAGGGGUCAUCCAGAUCCGCGGUCGCCGCUAGGUGCGGCCGUGUACGGCACAUGAGCUGCGUGGCGGUUGCUGACACCACGUCGCACGGCAGCAGGCCGGUUGGGAAAGUGCCCGACACCGGCACGGUCACAAAUAUACGGAUGGCGUCUGUGCUGUUGAUGGCGCCAGCUGCGACAAAGCCAAAGCCGGUGAGGGUCAGCAGCGUGCCGCCGCCCACACUGCCUGCCGCCGGGCUGACCGAGGUCACAGACAGGUCCACUGACACGCUGCCUGACGACAGCAGUGUCAGCCCCUGGGCGUUGUAGGCACUGCUGCUUGUGCUACUGCUGCCACCUGCAGUAGCCGAAGCUGCUGCUGAAGAGCCGCCGCUGGCUGUUGAAGAGCCAUUCAGCACCACCAUCGCCUGGUAGGAUCCGGGCGGCAUGGGGCCAGUGGUGCACACCGCCACGGAGGCCGAGGCCGAGGAGGAUGAGGAGGGCUGCUGCUGCCAGGUCACCGCCGCGCAGGGCACUGCCGCCGCUAGCGCGGCCGCCAGCGGCGUCAUUCCGACGGCACCGCUCCCGCUGCCACUGCAGCUACCAGUACUGCCACUGCUACUGCUACUGCUGCUGUUAGCGCCCGUGCUACUGCCGCUGGUUGUAGCGUUUGUCCAGUUCUGCGGCAGGGCCACCAGGUACAUCCCCAGCACGUCGGACGGGUUGAAGGAGCCUCUCAAUCCAAUGGUCACAUUGGCCCCUCCUGACGCCGGCAGCACUGACGCCCCUGUCGCCGUCGGCGUCAGCGACACCACUGCUGGCGCAGUGGUGGACCCAAGUGGCGACGCAGCCACUGGGACUGUGAAGCGCACCGCAGCAGUGCCGUUCACAAUUGCCUGUGGUGUCAGAAGUCAGCAAGAAAGCACCUGUCAGCGCGAUGCGGCCAAGUUCUUGCUUGUUCCGUGCCCGCCUGCAAACACGCCCGCUCAUCGGCCUGCGUGCGUUGGCAUGUGUGGUGCUCGCGGCGUCGCCAUUGGUCAAACCUACCUGCAACCUUACAGCGUGUCAACCUCACCUGAAGCUCCAAAGGCAUUGACAUUCCGUCGGCAACCGCAGCGCCCCCGCCGGGAUAAAGCGCCAACAGUUGCGAUGGGCCGCACGCCACUAACCCGCACGCCACGCCGCCCACUGACACGCCCAGACCCGCACACGGGUUGCCCCCGGCCGCCGCCGCCGCCGCCACGUCCGCGGCAUCCACCAGCCCCUGCCCGCUGAUCUGUAGCAGCGCCAUGCCGCCAUUGCUGCUGCUGCUGCCGUCGCCUGCAGCCAGCGGCAGCGCCGCCGGCACGACCGCGCGCACGGCAAAGGCCGAGACAAGUAGCGGCGGCGUGCCGGCGGCGUAGCCGCGUCCCGGCACGUACACCACAACCUGCCGCUGCCCGGUGGCGAGCGCGGCCCAAGGCACGUUGCAAACAAUUUGGGUGUCGUUUACGGCCGUGAUGGUGCAGUUUGCACCGCUAACCAUGACCCAAACCUGCUCGCCGGCUGCCGCCGCCGCUGUCGUGGUAUUCAAGCCACGCCCAUUAAUGGUCAGCUCCGCCGCCGCAUUUCCAGCCGCCGCCGUAACCGCCGGCGUGUCGGUGGGCCACGUGAGGCUCUGUGGCUGCACCGCGGCAACGGUGGGCGUUGCCGUACUGUCGUACCGAAACGAGCAGAUGCCAGAUGGAUGCACGCACGCCGCCGCAGCGUCGUUGACAAUCAACCGAAUCGAGCCUGGGCCCGCGACCGGCAGUUGGAAGAAGUCAACCGGCAACCGCUCAAACGCCUGCUCCGGCGGCGCAGCCCAGGCAGGCACGAAAAGCGUGGUCGCGUCCUGGUAACUGAGCCCGCGCGAGUCCACCAACCGUAGGCUGGGCUGGUUGGCGGUUGGCGAGUGCGCGUACGCAUCCAACGUAACGCUUACGUAGGUGGCCGAGUCGGAACCAUAACCCCUAGCUACAUUUGAAGAGUUUGACAGCCCUGGCAAGCUCGCCAGCUUCGCGCCGAUGCUAGGCACGUAGUCAUCCAAAGCGUUCACGUCAACGUACUCGCACUCGCUGUUCGCGGCGAUGCGGAAGGUGCCAGUGGUGAAGGGCGAGGCGGCGCGCGCCUCCGUAGCCAGCACGCUGCCCAGCGGCGCGUCGGGUCCGGGCGUCACGGUGAACGCGUACACGAUGAUGUAGUUGGCGUUUACCCUGUACGGCAGAGAGCAAGAGGGCAACGGGGCGGGUUAAGUAAGGGGCGUGGGUACAUGAAAUACAUGAAAUGUCCCCGCCAGUCGGUCGUGCCCCAUUUCCCCGCCCGCCCGGAUGGUGACACCGUUCCCAUUGCGGUAUUCACACCGCCUUGCAUGGACGGCUCCCCAUUCCCCCAUGCGUUCCAAAAUUCCCCGAGGCACGCGAGCUCCCUCAACAUGCGAUGUUCCACCGCCGUCCCCGUCCCUAGAUCCCAGGUCCUAAAUACCAGAUCCUAGGUCCCAGAUCCUAGAUCCCAGGUCCCCGAUGCAGGUCCUUACUCAAAUCCCCGAGCUCCCUCACCAUGUGAUGUUCCAUACGUUGGCCAGGUACUGCCCCUCGCGCACGGUGGUCCGCACUACCGCACACUCCGGGCCGUUGCUGGUGAGGUCGUUGAUGACGGACAGCAGCGCCGCCGCCGAGAUGUCGUACGGCAGGUUCCGUGUGUCCGUACCGGACAAGAGCCGUAACGCCCACGUGCCGCUGGGGUUGCUGGCGGGCUCCGGCGGCGGCGGCGCCGGGCCGUACGACACGUUCAGUGCCGGCAGUACCGUUGCCAGGCUGGCGGUUGGCACCACUGUCGCCGGUGGCGCGGGCGGCGCAAGGUACGCGGCCUCAGCGGCGGAGCCCGGCACGGGCGCCAUGAGGGGGUUGGCGAAGCUGCAGUUGCUAAGGUUAGACACUAUAGUGGGCGGCGGCGACGGCAGCGCCACCAGCGCUGCCGCCGUGAUUGCCAGGUGCGGCAUGGCUGCCGUACUCGCGCCGAUCUCCAGCAGCAGUACGGCGCCGCUGAGCACGCGCCGCACGCCAAUGAGUCCUGCGCCGCCGACGCCGCCCGUGGUGCGGUUGAACGGCGGCCCCAGCGCCGCCCCCAGGCGCGCCGUCAUUUCUGCAGACGGCACGGCCAGCGGCAAUGUGACAUUCAACUGCCGCACCGGGCCCGCUGGCGGCGCGCUGCCGCUGCCAGCGACACCCGUGCCGUUGACCCACUCCAGGGUGAGGUUCAGUGCCAGCAGCGCGUCGUUGAACCGCGCCGCGCUGUCCGCCGAAACCGUAACUUGUACGGCGGUUGAGUUGGCGACGGUUGGCGACGGCACAUACAGCCACUUGAGCGCGACGGAACGCGGCAUGCUGGGCCCGAACACGCGCAGUUGGAUGGUCCGCUCCACUGUGUUAGGGCGUACGCGGUCGUCCGUGACGCGUACAGCAACCUGUUGGAAGCCACGCCCGGCGUUGUUACAGGAGUUGGCCUCCAACAGAAGCGGUUGGCCGGCAGUUAGGUUAACCGCCGCGCUGCGCUGCGAAGGCAGCCAGUAAUACCAGUCCAGGUAGGUGCCCUGGCCGAGCGCCACCAACCGCUGCCGUACUUCCACGCCGUUCUGUUGGGGUGGACCGUUUGGGUGGGAGGGGCGCGGGGCAGGGUGGUAAGGGAGGCUAUUUGCACCACGUCCAUGGAUCUGAGGGCACUGGUUGUGUUGAAUACCCAGGCAUACAUGGGUUCCGUCUGGUUUUGGCAGGCAGUACCCUCACCUGAAUCCAGGUGCCGUUGACCUCACCGUAGUCAUCUGCACGCAUGGACGGGCAGCAUCAGAGAACACGCCACUGAUACCUGCUCACGUCGUCCAUGCCUCCAUCCCAACCUCCCUAGGAUUCCAGACGUGGCCUUUGCUCUGACCACAACAAAGCAGCAACAACAGCCCCUGCGCCGGCACACCCACCGAACCCCACCGAGGCUAGCCGUGCCAAUUCACACAUUUUAAACGCUCGGCUGAGCAGCCGCCGCGCCGCACGCACCUGCCGAGUAGAAAAAUGUGUAGGUGGCGGUGCGCGGCGCCGUGAAGAAGCCUCUAAGACGCGUGCACGCCCAGGGCACAGGCGCAUCGAUGUCACGUGUCUCCACUACAUCCAUCAGCACGCCUGAGUAGCCGCCGGUCAGGUUGGCUGCCUUGAUGGUGGUGUUCAGCCGCCACAGCUCCGACGUCGGCGGCGAGGUGAGCGGGUAGAACUGAGGAGGUUACAAGCGGAGAGGGUUGCGUGGCCAAUUGGUUUGGGUUCCAAGGUGAUUCAAGUAGGAGGGAUGCAGCUUUUGCCGGAAGCUGUUGGCGGGUUACGGUGGGCCGCGAACCCUGGGCCGUAAAGAAACACCAACAAUAUCCGAAGGGGCUCGCGUACCUCGUACUCCACGCCACGCAUGCCCGGGUACAGGCCCGCAAUGGGGCUGGCGCUGGCGUUGAGGGGCGGCGCGGCGGGCUGAGGCGCCGUGACACAGGUGAGGCUGCGAGGUGCGACGGACGCGAGCACAGGUCGGUUGGCAUUGUCAUCACCGUCGUGUACCAGCCAUGGGCCAUGCGAAUGCAUGUCAGCGGCAACGCGAUCGGGGGUCAUGGACACCGUAAGCACCAUGAUCCCUUGAUUGCACGUUACUUGCCCUUGUCCCAAGCCACCAAACCCCCGCAACUUCACCCACCUGCUGUAAGUGCUGUCCACCACCUCACACGGUGCGCCGCCCAGCCAUACCGACACGCGAUCACGCCGGCCCCCUCCCCCACUGCCUCCAGCGCCGCCCUGCAGCUGCCGCCGCAGGUCUGGGAAGCCGCGGCCGCGCAGCGUGACACGCGUGCCGCCCGCCGCCGAGCCGGUCGCGGGGGAGAUGGACGCCACCUCGGGGUAAACCGAGUAGAGGUACGGCGUGCCGUCCGCCGUGUACAGCCACGCUAAAUUAGAUGGUGUGGCUUUGCCCGAUCGCCCCAUCAGCUCGGGCCGAUGCGUGACGUUGAAGACCCCGGCCGUGCCCAGACCCGUGAUCAGAGACGGCAUCUGUGCGGCGCGAGUGAAGAUGGAGAGCAAGUAAGCGGCGGGGAACAAGCUCAAGUGUGGCAGAAACGGCAGGCUGUGACUACCGCGCCGGGAGUUGCGAAGCCAUGUACGUGGUUCUCGUUCAUUCUGCGCCAUGUCAGGUCUCCAGUACCCCUCCGUGCAAUCGCCGCGACACCCGCCAUCUUUCCAGCAUAGCCACGUCUCACAUCUUGGCCAUUCCACGAGCUCUUACUCACGUUGGGGUUAUUGCCAGGGGCGUCCGGCAGCGAGCAGUUGAUGCCAUAUGUAGUGCCCCACCGGUUUCUCGCCACCACCCCAAACACCGACACGCCGUCUCCCUCAGCCACCUUGCACUGCAGCUGCCCCACCUGUGUACGUGGCACGAGUCGUUUCCUAGAGUCAUUGUAUUCAGAAAGCGCAAGAGGGAAGCAGUCGAAACUGUGCUAGACAGCACAAGGGGAGAAGAAACACGUGCGUGCGAUGUGGGCUUUGGCAUACAUAGGUAUGAGGCGUGUGCCAACGUAAGUGCGAAAGGGACCGGCCAGCUUGUCUCAGGGCAAGGCAAGUGCGCCCAUGCCCAUGCCUGGCCAAGUUCCUAGAUGCCCCUCCAUGCUACGCACCUGCACUGUCCCCACACAGUCCGAAUCGCCACCGUUGGGUCCGCAAUCAGCAGUCCUACAGUGUGGCGAUGGCGAUGGCGGUGGCGAUGGCAGGAGGUGGUCGCAAUGAUUGGUGUCGCAUCGUUCUUGUCAUGUGGCUUGCCCCUCGCUGCCUCCCUGACUCCAGCACAUAGCCCACAUCCCCGCCCGCGUCCCACGCACCUCAAAGACAGGCCGCUGCCAAUGACUUGGAUGGUGGACCCAGGUGGAGUGGCGGCCGGCCGCACGGUGCGGAGCACUGCACAGUGCAAGCCACAUGGGAUCAGGUAGCCACAUGGGAUCAGGUAGCCACAUGGGAUCAGGUAGCCACAUGGGAUCAGGUAGCCACAUGGGAUCAGGUAGCCACAUGGGAUCAGGUAGCCACAUGGGAUCAGGUAGCCACAUGGGAUCAGGUAGCCACAUGGGAUCAGGUAGCCACAUGGGAUCAGGUGGGCAUGGGGCAGGCCGCGGUCAGGCGCAGCCGGUUGCCUCCACCCCACGGCCCUUUUUUCACGUUCCUUUGGCACUCCCCCGCAACCCUGGACUGGGUGCCUGCAUGUCCGGACUCUGCCUGCAUGUCCGGACUGUGCCGGCUGCUUGGGGCCUAUAAGGAGCUACCAGCCCGUCCCCUGCCCACCCAAUAUCAAGCACUGGCCACCAAGGGUGGGCUGCCCUCCGCUCCCCGCUCCCUGCUGCCCCCUGCCCUCUGACGGCCAUGCCGGCGUGCCCCCUUCGGACAGCUCCAUCUCACACGGUGCUUCAAACAUGCACUAGCCACUGCGCACGACACUCACCUGGGGAGUAAUUUGGUGUGUAGGUAAAACCCCAAAAGCUAGCCGUUGCACCGCUGUCCACCGUCACAUUUACCCAGUACGUCCCCGGCUGGCCGGCAGCUGCCGUCUCGCACGUGAUCUGCACAAGGCGGGAACGCAAUACGGCAAAGCAUCAACACAACAUAAGCCCCAAUCUUCAGUGUAGCUCAGUGGCGUGCCGAAAGUUCCUGCCAAGCGUGCGGUUUAAUGCCUAGGAUUGCCUCGACAGAUGGCAGCGACAGGCAGUGCGCCAACCUAACUGCGCUUGCACGCGUGCCGCCUGGUAGCACCACCCCACCACUGGUCACAUGCUCCCCUCACAACCGGGCGGGACCAAACGCAGGAUCGGGAUGCAAUCAACUGAUGUCCAGCGACCAGUUACUCCGUGUUUGGGGCUGUCGUGGCUGCGCGCAGGUGCAAACCCAACCUAUGCAACCUGGACGAAACCGACAGAAUCCGCACAGCUCUGUAGCGCGUGCUGUCAAAGAACGCCGCGUCCUUGGCCUGCUACGCUGGGGGCGCAUCAUUCCCUCCCGACGCAAGUGCACGCAAGCCCCCACACCGACCCACGCAGCCAGUCCGCGGCGCGCCCCUGCCGUCUCACCGCUGUGGUGCUGCAAAGUGUGGGCAGCACUGCACAGGGGUAGUUCCCCACCCAGACUUCAUUCCUGCCGAUGAACCGGUCCUGGCUGAACUCCGAGCCGUAGAUAAUUAUCCUGUUUUAAGCAAGGAAUGCGUUCGAUGUCAGCGGCACCGCCCACAGUCGAGCCUUGAUGCAGCUCCAAACCUUGUGCCUCCAGCGAGCGGCCCAUAUCCCAAGCUUAAAGAGAUUAUGGAUGGUGCUGCCAACGCAGAAGCUCCCAGUACCAGCAAAACUGCCAGAGAUGAGAGGAGUCGCGUGCCCAUUACGCCUCCGAAGACGCCUCGCCCAGGGAACGCUGCUGGGCGUCAUCUAUAUAAGUGCCCGGCUUCCAUGAUUUGCGCUAUCUGCCGUCGCCCGAGUGCAUUGGGUAAAACUGUUCUCACUCCGCACGCUGCGCCCGGCGAUAGCUGCUCUUAACAAAGUAAUAAAUAUGGUAUCUUGUAGAAACAAGCUGUUGGAAGGCUUAUCAGAAUACUAUGCACUCGAGCAGUGGAACUCGCCCAGUGUCAAUAUUAUGUAAAGAAAGGCAGCAGUUCAAACGUGAGUGCCUGCUCAGCUGAUGCUAUGUAUUUAGCGUUAUCAAGGUUAAUGGCGACGCUCAGCAGCGACCCCCGGGCCGAGUUCCGCGAUUAUGUGGCGGGCGCAAAGUCGCGAAGGCGCGAAGUGGCCGUUCAAAGCUAAAUGCUUAAUCAUGAUAACACGUAUUACUGGAAGAAAUUAAUGCAGUUUGUCAUUUGUAAGAAAACUGGAAGACGUGACAUGAAACGCGUGUCGGUCUGCAGCGAUCGGCUCGUGGUUGGCUCCGUGUGACCGCGUCGUUGCGUUGCAGCGCGCGUACUAACGCCGGGGCGGUGCUAUGGCAUACAGAAUAGUGUAGGCUUGCAGCCGUUGCUGGCGGGACCUGCGGCCCUCCAGUGAACGCCUGCUCGCCAGCGCCGGGGCCCCCAUGCACGCUCGCAUAGUAUUAACACGCGUGGAGCAAAGGGCCAGCAAGGCUGCAAGGGGGCACGGGUCGGGGCACGGGUCUAUUUGUCUGGGGACAGCCAUGCGCAACAUUUGCCAACCUGCCACCCCACGCAGUCAUCGCCUGGUCCAUCAACGGCAUCAAGCCAUCUUUCGCGAGAAGUCCGCCUCCCGUCCCUUCCAGUUCCCUUGCCUUGCAACCUUGCAUGCGCGUCUUCAAACUCUUCCGUUUCGUGAACCCCCAUCGGCCGCAUCCGAAUGGCUGCACCCCAGGUCCCAGAACCGCAAUAUUCUCCCGGCUCACACACCGAAGCCACACGUGCAAGCCUACACAAUACAAAUUCCUCUCUCUCACACACACACCAUCCAUUCAAUGAUCCAAGUGCGUCCGGCCUCCCUGCAUUUUACGAUCGCCAUCAUUCCUAGCGAGUAGAGGGGACAAUCUGACUUUGCAAGCACAGAGAGACCAUCGAGGGCUGCCAAGGCUCAACUAGUAUGCCAGGCAGUGCGCCUGCCGGUGCCUACUGCCGGUGGCGCUGCUGCCGAGCGCGCCUGGCGCGUCCGGGGAAGUACGGCUCAUGCCUCAGGGACGGGAUGUCCGUAUCCCGCGGCCAGUGCUUCGGGUCCUUGAGCAACUCGGUUAUAUCCGCGUCACUACUGGCGUUAUACUGCGGCAUUGACCGGUCAACGCCGUACCGGAUGAGCACCUCCUGAAGCCUGCGUGGCACGUGGUACGCGUGACACAAGAUCAGGAUAAGGGCGCGCGGUACGGCAACGGUUACAUAUGGCGCUGUAGCGCUUAGCGUGUCGGCAAGGUCAAACUGCUGGCAAGGUAUAAGUGCUGUGCGGCAGCACUGUGUGUGAUCUGAGGGCACGGGCGGGUGCCCUAAAACGCUCUACUUUUAAUGUCAAGCCAGCCCCCCGCAUGGACGUUCGGCGCUGCGUGGCGCAGCUGUCCAGUUCGCAGGGUGCAUACAUGCAGCACGGAAGCUGGCAAACUGCACACGCACCUGCAGGAAUGCGCGUAUCGGGGGGUGCCGGCAAGGAAUUCCAGGAAGCGGCCCAGUGGGAUGCACAGCUUGCGGUUGGCGCAGUCGGGCGUGAACCUGUCGAGGUGCAGGUGCAUGUAGCCGCACAGGGUUGGAAAAUUAGUAGUCGAGCAUGGGGACAGCUGGUAGAUUACUGGGCGCUUUUGCAAGGGCGGUUGAAGUGAGGGAAACUGGAAGAUGGCGCACUGUAGGAGAACGCAUUGCCUUUUCAGGAGGAGAGAAACACACCAAGCAUAUACGGUAGACAUGCUGCUGCACCCGGGUUAUGCUGCUGCACCCGGGUUGAGCUAUGGUGUUCCUAUCAUCUGCUCCCCCACUUACUUCAUCCGCUUGCCCAUUUCUUCAAUCAGUGUGCGGUAGUAGCACAGCCGCGCGCCCCGGUGCAGGUGCUUCACCGCGAACGUCUGGGCCGCCUCCGCAAUCUUCUGAGCCUCAGCGUCAUGCUCCAGUGCCCACUUCACACGCUGUAAAACAUACAAAGCAAGAAUGCACACAUUUCUAAUGCAAACUCGGCAGGACCUGUAGCAGAAAGUCAUGACCACGCACGACAUGCUUUGGGAAGCCGGUGUCGCGCUCGGGGAGCACAAGCCUGUGCGGAGGUCGGGUGCAGACGCCGCGCGUGUCAUAUACACACGCCUUCCUCUUUUACCCUCUCAAGUCCAAACCCUUCCCGCUCACCUCCACGAUGUCGCCCAGGCUCUGGUUCAUGCAGGGCAGGAAGUGCACAUCGGGGGCCAGGGCAUCGUAGUAGUAGCCCUUGCGGCUGGAGGCGGCCUGCGCGGGGAGGUCACAUGGGGAGGCGCUUUAGUCCAUUCCGUCGACAAACGGCACAGAAUGUGUUGCAGAGGAAACGCCCCAGGGUCAGCGCGGAGUCAGCGGGUCGCGAUGUUGGAAAGGCAUGGAGCGGUAUCUAGCGAGCCCAUAGUAACGAGGUGCGUCAGGUCGGAGCGUGCGGGUCGUCUCGCCUUGACGAUGAUCUGGCGCCGUUCCGUUGUUUCCCCGUCGCCACAGCCUACCUUGAUGACCAGACUGCCCAGCAGGAGGUACUUGUCAAACUUGGAGCUAACGGCCCAGCCGUCCGUGGACACAAGGUACCUGCGCGUACGAAAGUGCGUGCGUGCGUUUGGGUGUGUCGUAACGGUAAGGGCAUCGUGGAGCUAACACUGGACAUUGUCUGAGCAAGUGGCAAACACGGCGCUCACAGGAGACGUUCGCGUGCGCUGUGCCCAUCAGGCCCGCCCACCUUGCGCACGGAAUGCACGCGUUUCUGCCCAGCAACAACCCAGAAACAAAAGACCGCGCGCCCUCCCGCCCACACGUCCGCCCGCCCACAGCCCGCCGCCCGCACCUGUAGGCAUUCUGAUGGAACAGGGGCACUGGUGUGCCGCGCGCCGGCCCGCCGUUUGCGGCACCCAGCGGUAGGAUGUCCUACAGGGCGAGUGGGGCCCGGCAAAGGUUUCGUGACGAUGGAGGUUGCAAGCGCCAACAACUCAACAUCAAACAGCAACACGAACAGCAGUAGCUGCAGCUUGUGCUCCAGCGCUGCCUCCUCGCGGCUAGCAUGUCUCGCCGGCCCCGCCGCACCAUGUGCUCGGGUAGUUUGACGUUCUGGGAAGGCAGGUAGGCGCGCGGGCAGGUGUAUAGCUCUCCCGAGGGCAGCGCUUCCUGGCCGUACGUGUACGUCGCGCAGAACAUGUUCCAUCGUCCGAACGCAACCUGGGGUUCAGCAGGACGGUCACGAUGGGAGAAGUCGGGGAACGGACAUGCGUGCUGUCGGCUGUAAAGUACCGUGUUCGUACAUGGCUCUGAGCUGCACGGCCUCCAGAAAGACAAUCACAAUUGACAGCCUGACGCUAACCAUGAACAAGCUCUCACCUUUUUCCGCUCGUGCCAGGGCACGCGCUUGAGCUCCUCCAGUCGAUGCAGCAUGUUGUCAAACGAGUCCUCCGAGCACCUGGAGUGAGACGUGAUGAGGGAAGGUAGGUGGGUAAGAGAGAAAGCCUGCCCACACACUCUCAACCAUGGCGUAUCCUGUGCUCUCUCGAGCACGACGAGCAUUGCACUGCAAAAGCAGGCGCCGACGUACACACCCACGCCCAACAGUGUCUGUACGCCGUACGCAGUACUGCUGGAUCUGCUGCGUACGGCAGCCCAUGCAGCGUGCCAUCAAGUACGGCCCACCUGAAAGCCCCGCUGUACGGCACCAGGGAGGCGAAGCUGCGCUCGCUUUUGCUCCAGGCCAGGAUGGGGAACGGCCCUCCAUGGAACCUGAGGCCCAUGGCAUCACGUGGUGGGCAUCGCAAGAGGAUGGGUUAGCCGUCUAUGAAAGAUGGUGCGCAUGGUUCACAUAUAUGGGGAGGAGGCUCAUCCGUUGGAGCCAGCAGAGAGGGGGCGGAGGGCAGAGGCGCAAGGAAUGGGCAUGUAUGGGAGAAGGAAGGAAGGGCCCGCCCUUGCUUUCGACCCGUGUGCACUGCGUGUCACGCCGCGGCGGUACACACGGUGCUGAGGCGAGCGCCACUCGGGCGCAUCUAAUCCGUUGCCUCUUGAUUCAAGCUAGCUGUGUCUUGCGAUGCUGCACCGCCGCCGUAACCGCCCACCUGGCCUCCAACUUGGCCCGGUUGGUCCACGUGAACGCGGGGUCAGCCGCGUCGUCGUUUCCAUUCCACGCGAAUUCCAAGUCCGGCAGCCUGCAAUGGCGCAGGCAGGUGCAACAGAGGCGGAGUCCAUAUUACAACCUCUUAAUGAGCACAUACAGCAGCUAAGAUUGGAGUUAGCUUGAUGAUUACGUACUUCCGAUUGCGAGGAAAGUCGUGCGCGCGUGCACGCGCGCUGUGCAAUCGUGGCUUCUCCCCAACGGCCCGCGCCCUGUUUUACGUACUUGCUUAUUUUGCUGGCCUCAUAGAGCUCCAACAAAAAGCCGAUAAAUUCGUGUGGCCCCAGCCGCCACUCCGGGUGCAAGCUGUUUAGGUAAAUCUGCGUGAGUGUAGCGGGGCAGGAUGCGCAGCCACGCUAAUCGGAGCUCGUGACUCUCACUCUUAUGGGGAGAGGCCUGUGCUGGAAAGUAUUAGAUCCGUCACCACGCGCCCGUCCACUUCGGCAGUACGGUAGUAGGAUGCCGUGGUGAUAGGAGCAGGAACCAGGAAAAUUCGGGUGGCAGCACUGUUUCCUCACCUCCCCGUCCUUUAUCAUCAUCCGUGUGGCCUGGACGUUGCACUGGUGCCGGAUGUUCACGUCGCACACCUGCACGCAUCCAGGGUGUGUUGUUUGUACGGGCGUCAAGGUAGCGCUGCCUAGCUGGCCAUGGCCAUGAGGGGUGGGGUGUUGAUACCCGCCCAAACUAAACCGAAACCAAUGCAAAAAGAGCGAGGAGGAUAGCAUGGCCUAUGCCUUGACAACGGAAUGGUAAGGGUUGGCAUCGGCGUGCUGACAGGGCAAUAACCCUUGCCAGGGCAAGUUGCACGGGUCCCACGGGAUGUGUGGGGCUUGUGGGAUCCGCACUGCACUCGGGGCGUGCGUGUGCACAACCCAACCGCUGGUCACCCCUGGGCGCGCCGCCACGGUGCAGACCACACACGCUGCUGCUGUAGCGCAGACCUAGGAGCGCGUCAAUUCUGGUCCUGCCUCCCCUCAAGGUUCUCGAGACUCCAGACCCCACUACAAACCCCACAGGAGUCCAGACGCGACGAACGCACCAGCGAUAUGUUUCGAAUCAUGGCGUCCGUGAUGCCGCCAAUGUCGUCAAGCCAUGCCACGUCCUUCUGGAUCCUGCGGAGCGUAUUCAAGCCCAAAUUGACGGGCUCAGCGACGUGCGAGGCAAGGCAUACCACCAGCGCCGCCCCAGGCCACGCUCCAAGUUCGUGCGUUAACGGGGCGAUGGCCAGCCUGGUGCGUGUCACUGUUUGUGCCCGUCAAGCCCAUGCUGCAAGGAACUGACCCCAAUCGUGCCAAUAUACUGUCACAUCGCACAGUGCAUUCUCCGUGACGUACUUCAGUCUGUCCCACGUACCCAACCAGAGGCCCGGCAAGGGGUGUGGGCGCAGGGGCCUGCGCAUGUGCGGGGGCACACCCGACUGCAGACCCAACUGGCCUGCUCACCGUUCUCGCAACUUGGGGUGCAGGUGGCAAGAACCUGAGCAGACGCCGGAAGCGACAUCAUCCUCUGAGGCCGCUAUCGCCCCGCCAAGAAGCGCCACCAGUGCAAGCGCAAAGAGCAUCGCCAUGUUGAUGCGCGAGCUGUCCUGUGCCAACACAGUUGGUCCUGGCGCAAGCUAGCUAUAAGAACUUAUUUGACACGCGAGUCUAUGAUGCGAUUCCAUGGCAAAUUUGACAUGCAGCAGGGAGUCCUUUCGCGUUUAAGCAGAACAAGCACAGACGUCGCGCUGUGUCAGAUUAUGCCGAAAGUAGAUAAGGCGUGCGUGUAUGGUGCAACUACCACAACGCGCCUAAUGCGUUGGUUGCAAGCUUUGUCCAUUGCGGCUGCCACAGCGCGCCCAUCGGCUUGUUUCCCCGAUCCCCGGCCUUGUUUCCCCCGCUUGCAUCCUGCAAAACUCGCUCAGGUUGCUGACACUGGCUCUCUACACACACCAAAAACAUCCAUCCCCGCUCGUGGAAGUAUGGAACCGUGCAACAUUCAUAGAACACUAGGGACCUUGACCGACCUCCCUAGGCUCCCCCCUUCAAAACACCCCGCCGCCCCACAACGCCCAUUCAAGGGCCCGGCGCUUCAAGGCCGGCCGCUCUAGGCUCGGCGCUCCAAGCAGCACCAUAUGUCCGCUAUCAUCGUCGCACAUGUCCGUGCUGUCCUACGCUGAGUUGUGCUUGAACAGCUUUCUGCUAAACCAGUGCAUCAGCGUCUGUACGCGGGGCGGGGUAAGAAACAGUGGUGCUGGGUUAGCGUGCCAGGCGGAUUUCUGUGGCCGGACUCACAGACUGGGCGGCGCAAGGUGCAGCACAUAUCAUGCGUACACGGUUGAACUAAAAAGUGGCACCAGCAAGCCUUGAUGCAGCCCACCUUCUUCAUUCAUAGCGCCUGUGCUUGCUGCCGCUAUGACACCCGUCAGUGCUUGUAGCUUGUAACCCUGAGUACCCCGGCUCGCGCGCCCACACGGACUCACCGCCAGAGCAGUCACAUGGAAAGCGAACAAAGCGCGAAAGAUGAGAUCCCUGCAAGGCAGGUUGGGCGCGCAGUGAUUGACAGGCCACGAUGGCAGCGUUUGCAGCGCUUGCACUCAGAACACCAUGCAGAGGUUGUGAGUACCGUAUUGGUGCACAGCACAGCUGUAGUGCAUGGAGCCAUCAACAUAUGUGCUCAACGCAGCUGAUAGCAUCCAAGCCAACUAAGUUUCUACUCACGAGCUUUGCCUAAAAGCAUGAAGGAAGGGCGGCAGGCGCUCCGGCCGCGUCAGCACCACAGCCUGCACAAGCCAGAUCCCAUCACAGUCCGGCACACAAAGACGCCAGACCACGUCGUGACAUGACACGGUACAUGUGUUAGCAGCUAUUGCUAAGCAGGGCGUGUUGUAACAUUGCGGUACAGUGAUAACAUCUGGAAGCAGGCAGCCUGAGGUAGAAGCCCUGUUGUUGGCUGUAGCUGCCACAUGCAGCCGUACACCAAGCACGUACCGCGUGAGUCGUGUAGCAAAGAACCAGAACCAAAGCCCCAAGCAACAUCAGAACCCUGCGGACGGUAAAAGGCACCAUUAAUGCAGAGCCCAAGCAUCCGUAGAGCGGAUCUGUGUUGGCUCCAUCGAGUCAAGUCACCGCACGACCUCACCCUGCCACGCGCCUCCGCAACACUGGUGGCGCGUGCGGCCGAGUGUCAGGCUCUGGUCGCAAGAGGUCCUGCAACAUGUUGACACAAGCGCGUUGCCCAGUACCCAUGCCACAAACAUCCCUCCAAUGCACGGCAUGCAUUUGUCAAUCAUGCAGGCUGUGCCUGGCAUCCGCUGUCGCGCCAGCCCGCUACAGCUGCCCAACAGCCCCGGUUCCAUGUCGCAGCCGCCCUUGUCUGCAUAAGAGCUUGCAUUGCCGCAUCUCGCCCCAGUCCGUAUCAAUCACGCCAGCUGGCCGCGCCGAGGCCCCCACCCCGCCCAUCCCCACACGCGCGACCACCCCACGCACGCACCUGCAGCUCGUGCGUUGACGCCACACGCCUCCAAGAAUGCGCCAGCUUUCCAUACGCUUCCUUGCUGCCUGCCUCCAUUAUUGCGCGCUGAAUUGCGUUGUCUUCAGUCCCUCGGCACGGUUUUACAUUUUGGCAACUUGGGCACGCAACAAGGUAGCGGUAAAAAUAAAGUAAUAAACGGAUUUCGUAAUUAUGGCGAAGUUGGACAGAGACUGGAGCUUUGUUUCAGCCCUUCUGCCCCGAUCCCAGUCACAGCCCCGGACACCCAUCAUGCAUGUGCGGUUUCUUCCGAUGAACGAGACCCUCCGCUCUUGCACAGUGCGCCCCGAAACGCCAUGCCGAUCGCGCAAUUCCCUGCACAAGGCGUUGUCAAAGUUGUUGCAACGGGCCGAUGGGCUGAACAGCAGGCAUGUGCAUGCAGCGGGUGACCACACUAGGCCUCACUCCGCUUUGUUUGUAGCCGAUGGUGGCCACAUUAGCCAGGCCGCGAAGCGGCAUAGAGAGUCGUGUAGCUGAUGUAGAAGGGGAGUGCAGAAACUUCAUGGCGACGGGGCGCACAGUGGGGGGGGGUGCGACGGGUGGCACCGGGGGGCAAUCGACACGCUGCGAUGGUGCUCGGUGCACGGGUCUGCCUGCGACUGUGCGAACAGGACCAGUGGAUUCUUAGGCGUGGAUUAUUACAGUUGCUUCAGUUUUGUGGAUACGCACCGACACAAGCACGUAGCGAGGAGGGGCAGAGCGCUGAACCAUCAUGGCGUCCGAAGUCGUUCUAGCGCUGCCGCACAAGCUUCGUGUGAUGCGUAUGUACCGGACAGGCCUGAAGGAGCUCAUCAACUGGAGCGCAAACCGGCACGAGUGGUACCCGCGGGUGAGCGCAAGUAUCGGGGGCUUGGUUUGAUGCCCGAGCUUGUGCAUUUGCAUCUUUUGCUUAACAGGAGUGAUAAAAUUGUUAGCACAUGCCCUGCAUGCUUGGUAUGUGGACUGUCAAGGCCUUCGGCAAUUCCUGUUCUUCACGUGUUUUGCAGGCUUAUGCCCUCCGCCAGGAAUUUGAGGACAGCAAGGCGCUGGUGCGUGUUGUAUGCUCCGUGUUGCCGGGUCAGAGCUGGGGCAUGCUUUCUCGUCCGGCUUGCGUCUCACGCUGAGUUGCUUGGCGGUGCGUGUGCUGUGCAGACUGACCGUGAGGAGAUUCGCAAGAAGCUGGAGCACGGCGAGGAGCUGCUGGCGCGCUUCCGCCACUGGGAGCCCCUCAUCAGUGAGUGCCAUCGCCCCCCACCAGUUGCACCCCCGGCUUAGCCCAUUGGAACUGCUCUAACCCUGGAUGCCUGUUGAACGAUGUGUACUGCAGAGCCGGAGUUCGUUGGAGGCACGGCCUACUCGAUCAACCCGGCCCAGCCGAAGGUGGGAAGGAGUCACGCAGGACUGAACAUUUUGGGCAGCAGCAUGCAAACACAAUUUCCAUCGCUGGCAGUGCUACGCGCCGUCAUGGCGGCAGGCCCUGGAUGCAGCCAGCUGGCGCAGCUGGACCAUAGGUUAUGAGGGUCACAAUGACGCUGCUGCUUGUGAGGAAGUACCAUGGGAGGCGGUGGUUGUAGAGGGCAGCGGGUCACACCCCGUUCCGCAGCUGCGCUAGCUCUGAGCUCUCGCAGCAAGGGCCGUGCGUCCAAUUGCUGAGCACACGCACGUCCAUGCCGCCACCACCCUUCCUGUUUGCAGCUCAAAUUUAUUCCCAACUACGACGCUAUGGACGAGUACAAGAAGGGUGACCACCUCUAAGCGGGGCGUCGCUCGUAUGCGUCGUCUUGUCGCCAAGCGUCUGGGGCCCGCAGGAGCUGGACAUGGAGCAGGCGCGUGGCGCAGCAGGAGCUGGAGGGAUGCUGGCCGCGGCGCACGUGCAGUGGCGGCACUUCGCUGCUCGGUUGCUGAUGGCCAGGUGCAGGAAUGGCACUGGCGCAUGCCUUGGCAAGGAUAUGGCGUCGGCGUGGUGGCGUGGAGGAGAAAGGAGGAGGUUGCUUAGUGGUAGCCACCAAGAUAGGCGCGCCACGUGCGCCAAAGGGGGCGGGGUUAGGACCAUGCGUUGGGGUUUCACGUGCAGCGCAACGUGGCGGAGGUUAUGUAGCGGUUGGGCACUUGGUCCUGCCUCCUGCGUCGAGGUAGGGAAGCUGCCCUCCCUUCCGGCUUAUGACAUAGGUGUGUAGUUGUGCAAUAGCGCUCAGUUGUGCGAGGAUCGCACGACACGUGUGCGUAGGCAGGGGUUCGGGAUCUUGCGUUUAUACUGGACGAAUAGGCAGGAGCGGCCAUCGUAGGCGGCGAUAAGAGCGUUAAAACCGCUGGCACUGUGUGGUUAGAGUUACGCAUACGAGCCUGGCAUUGCUGUAACGGAUUUUAUGGAGAGAUGGCUUCCGGCAUGCAGGGCGUGCUAGGACACCCGGCGCACGACCGGGGCGUGCCGGGCUCUGAUUCAAGAGGGGUGAUUGUUGAACGGGAACUCACUUACGUGCCAGUUCGCGGGGCACUCGGUGUCCCGGACAGGUGGCGCACGGAGUUGAGGCGGCACAUGCAUAGGUCUCGUCGUAGAGGCCUUCCCUGGUCCAGCAGGUAUGGGAGGGGUGGGUGCAGCUGGGGGGGGGGGGGGGGGCGCUGAGAUGACAGGACUUCAUGCGCAUCAAACGCGGCUGUUAAGGCACGCAUCUAUCAUGGCUCUGAGAUGCGAUAUGACACUAUCAUAAUAGUGAGGCCCCCAACGUGAAACAGAGAAAGCCCCUUGAUAGUUGACUCGAGAAUUGUGAUUGAAGAAGAACACAUACGCAUUCUAAGACUGUCCACCAGUGAACGAGUACGGAGCCUUAUGUAUUGUCUGUGAUGAAAUGUACGUGACCUACAGAACGUCUUCGUGUGCUUGGCCUCGGCUCUCAGGUAGCGCCCGGACGGCGACCCAAACCUCUGUCAGUAAAUAACAAAUUAGGAGCAUUAGUUUGUCGAGUGAUAGUUUGGCCUGAUGCGGAAGGCACGGUCGACGGUCGCGCUGGAGGAUGUGGAGCUCGGGGAGCCCGACCCAGUGUUCAAGACGAGAGUAAGCGUAGCAGAGACAGUUUUUAGCAUCGCAGGAUGCCUUUGGUGCUCGGAUGGAGGUCCCAGGACUGCAGGGCAGAGAAGACACAGCUCUUCGUCUUCUCGCAGCCCCUCCGAACCGACCCCCCACCUGCCGCGGCGCGUCCCCACCCUUGCUGCAAGUAGCUCCUACUGCAAAUACCCUUGCCACUGAACCAAGCACUCGAUGUACCGUCGCAGGGUGGAUCUGGGACGCGAGGUGCACCUUUGAAUGGCCAGGCGGAGCAGGGCAACGGCGCGGCGGGCCCCAGCAGUAGCAAGGCGGACAGGGCUGAGCGCGUGGACCGCGCAACAGAGCGGGCGGCCGAGCGGGCGGCUGAGCGGGCGGAGCGUGCAGAGAGGCAUCGUGUGCAAGAGGUGGGGAAACGCUAUAGGGUCCCAGGCUAGGCCAGGCACCUCCAAAACCAGUUACAGUACCCGUCGCAAGGUUAGGCGGUUAGCGCACUUUGAGAAGGGGUGCUUCAGUCCAGCUGUGCGCUGAUUGUAGGGUGCGCAACAGAGCUGAACGUACAUGCUACUAUGGGUUCUGCUCUUUGACCUGCGUAGGUGGAAGCUAUGGAGGGGGUAGCGCUCACAGGAGGCGCGGCGGCUUCGUCUUCGUCGUCGCCGGGGGCACUGCCCAAGUACCGCAGCAACAGCCAGGACCUCAUUAUGGGGGCCAUCUACAAGGUGAGGGAGAGGCCGGGGAUGAGCGUGAGGUUGUAGGCGGGGGUGCUGAUGCGGUGGAUGGGAGGAGGGCUGGAUUGCAACCCAGGUCGGAGCCGCAGUGGUGGUCCGCGCCUGUGGGGACGGAUGCGGGCAGCAGCCGCCGGGGCUUAUUAGGGUUGACCAGGACUCUGAAAGACGCCUUCGGUGUUCAACCCAGAUCACGAAACGCGUUAAGGGGCUGUCUUGGCGAACCCGGUAGGCGGGAAACGAAGUUUAUACUGAAUGUAGCACAGCGCACCAAGCUGUCGACACCUGCGAGCUUGCGCUGCAACGGCCCCCGUUCCCUCUAAAUCGCGCAGUACACGCUGUGGAUUCUGGCAGUGGGGCCGUGGAAGGUGGUCAAGGGCUGCUCCUGGGUGCUCAACCGCUGGCAGCGCUUCGUGUACCCGCUGUCGUACGCGUUGUUCUACGGUGGGCGGCGGAAGGGGCCGGGGGGCGACACAGACGGGGAGGGGUCCAGGCACUGGUGGGAUGGAGGAGGGCACUGGGUGUGGGACUGGAGAAGGGGUCCCUAGGGACUGAGGUGGACGCGCCACAGGCACAAAGCCAUUGUCGGGACUUUGGGUUGUGGCAUGCAGGAAGGGGAAGGGCGGGAGCUGUCGUCUUUAUCUCGAUCAUCGUUUCUGCUUUCUCAUUCCACCCUGCCUCCCUGUUCUUCGCUUACCCGACCCCGCCCAACCGCCUCCCGCCGACCCACUUGCACACGCAGCCGGUGACGCCAUGGACCGCACCAUGCCCACCGUCCGCGCCGUGAUUGUGUGGUUCUGGAACACCACCAGCCUCGCGCUGCACUUUGUGGACGUCAUCCUCAUCUUUGGCGUCAUCAACGUGAGUGACGCCUUUGUGCCAGGGGCUUGCACUUGCGGCCAGGAGCUGCGCGGCACCUGCAGUGCUGCAUGCUGAUGUGUGCCGUCCAGUGACGUAAUGGUCUGUCUACACGCACCCAGCCGCCCACCGGCCAUCAACACAAGACGUCUGGCACCGUUUAACGCCAUCCACGCUCCCCCCCCCCCCCCCGCACACACACACACACACACACACACACACACACACACAUGCAGAUCCUCAGCAACAACGGCAACGGCUGGGUGGGGCUGGUGAUGGGCUUGCUGUACUUUGAGAGCCACUACCUCAUGGCUGUCAUCAUGUAUAUGGAGAACGACCGCCCGCUGGACUGCCCCGUGUACACGGGACUGGACCUGCUGAACUUCUUUAGACGCCAGGUGCGUGGGUAGGUGGGCGGCUGAUGGGGGAGGGUUGAGGUAUCGGUCAGGACUAAGGGAGAGCGUGAACUCAGCAAGCUACCCAAAACAGUUAGCAGUGAGUUAACGGGUAAUGGGCGAUGCAGUCUAACUGUCAGCCGCCCCUACUCCGGCUAGGAUAGAGGCGUAAACGUCCAACCGGGAGGGUUGCAACUUGCAAGUUGCGGCUGGGCGGGGCGGCUGAUACGUGCGCUGCACGCCGGAGGAUGGGCGGGGGCUGCCGGAUGGGGGCUGGUUGGGACCGGUUCGUAUGCAGGACUUGGGAGACGGGACGCCGAAGGGGCAGGUGGGCGUCUGCAUGACGGCUUGCCAUUCGUCGCUCUCCCUCCUGGUUGGUUUAGUUGGGUUUGGAAUGAACUACUCCCCCUUUCCCUCCGCGUGUUGGCCUGCUCGCAGCUGGACGUGUUGUUUUUCGACAUUCAGCUAGGCGCGUCCGUGCUGCACUCCAACAUCAUGAUCGAGGGCAUGACCCAGAUGAUGCUGCAGGUGGGAGCGAGCAGCUGUGUGUGCGGGCGUGCGUGUGUGUGUGUGUGUGUGUGUGUGUGUGUGUGUGUGUGUGCGUGUGUGUGUGUGCGUGCGUGCGUGCGUGCGUGUGCGUAUUUGUGUUUGUCCGGGAGCCUAAGGGAUGGAACACACAACUUGCACCCUUCCCCUUUGCGCGUUCUAACACAACCUGCAAAGCCCGCGCAUGAGCAGCUGUGUGAAGUCGCGGGAAGGGCGGGUUGUGUGGCUAGCAGACGCGUCGUGACGUGUGGGCAAGCGAUCCUGCCUUUGCAACACGCACGCCCUCUGCACGGGCCCCCCUUGCGCUCCAGCGCAACCCACGCAACCCACGCGACGCCGCUCUGCGCCCCUCAGGGCUACGAGGAGGCGCGCGUGUGCCUGCACAUGAUCAUGAACUCUCUACCCGCCGCCAUCAUCCUGGGCGUGCUGUACGACGCCAUCUAUGCUCUGAAGGACCAGUUCUCGUGAGUGCACCCACCGCCUCACCAACUAGGCCGUCGUGUCAGGCGGCGUGCCGCGUGAGGUUUAUGGGGUGGUGGCAAAGUGCUGAGCGUACGGUAUGUGUGCGAGUGCCUGGGCGUACAGGUCAUUCCUGCCACUUCAUUCCACAUGCCGGGCUCCGUUGCCUUGCGUGGUGUUCAGCAGCCCACUCCACUCAUGCCCGCUCCCCGGACGUGGAAGGAUUUGGAAAUUUAUCACUCCCGCUUGCAUGGGCGGCUAACCCCCUCCCCGAACAGGAACAUCAUUAACAACAAGGCCAAAAUCAACCUCAUCUACGCGGCCUUCGUGUUUGCCAUCCUCAACGUCGUCGACAAGUGAGCGAGGGGUGUAUGUGGAAAACACGGCACCAGCCCUCCACUCAUAUGCAAGCCAUCCUCACUCCCGAGGUGCACCCGCCCGAAAUCACCGCGCGCACACUCCUGGGGCGAGCGCAGCCUGCGCGUCACUUCCGCUCUCCUCCCUCAUCCUCCGCUCCCUCCCUUCCCUCCCAUCCCGCCAACACAAUCACACAAUUUCACACACACACACACACACACAAUCACACACACACCCACACACAGACACAAUCACAUAUACACACACAGGUUCAUCCGCAUGUCGCUGGCCGACCCCUGGCUGCACCCGCUCAACGAGGACGGCUACCCGCUGCUGUACAUGCGCAGCAACGCCGCACGGCUGCCGCGGGCCAUGGUGCUGGACUUCGUGUUCAGGUGUGCGGGCGGCAGGGGGGAGGGGUUAGCGGCAGGAGAUGCGGGGUGCGGGCGGAAGAGGGUGCGGGCGACAGGCGGCUACUAGGACCAAACCCGAGGUGCGCUGGGCUGCCGGAGGAGUGCAGUGCUGGGGACUUCGCACGGCUUCGUGGAGCGGGGUGGAGGAGGCCGAGUGCCCCGUGACCAGCCUAGGAGUUUGCGCAGCUGCGCUCGCUCGUACUUAGUCGAGCAUACGCGUGGUUGGCUUGCUCUCACAUCCUUCCCACCCUUUCCCUCGCGCUUUUCUCCCCACUCCCGGUUCAACGUUAAUCCCCACUCCCGGCUUACAGGUGCAACGUGCAGCUGGCGGAGUCGGAGGACAAGCUCACGCUGCGGCCGCUGUACGACAAGUACGUCGUGCGCAUGGCAUGUUUUGGGUUGGAUUUGGGGCGAAGCUUGCGUGGCGUAUGUCUUUUGUGUGGGCCGCUUAGGACUGCAGGUCGCUGCUGCCCGUCAGGGCCGACGCGUCGAUACCGGUAGACUGAUAGUCGUGCCUAGCGAAGCGUCUUCCGUUCCUUCCGCCCCCGAAACCACGGGCGCGUAAUCACCUGUACAUUGCCACGGCUUCCCGUACGUCUUUCGCCCGUGACUUGCAGGUACGUGGUCAACGUGCGCGGCAAGCCGAAGCAGCUGGCUGACGGGCACAAGAUGUACCUGCUGCGCAAGGCGCUGCGCACUUUCAACAAGGUGCGUGGCGGCGGGCCGCGGCGGCGACACACACACACACACACACACACACACACACACACACACAGUCGUGCACACCUUGCUAUGUUAGAAUGUGCGCGUUCAUAAUCGCGUCCACUCGCUGGUGCCAACCGCAAACACACAGGGCACGGUGCGCUUCAACCGGGCGGAACAGCUCGCACGCAAGGUGGACCAGCACAUCCUGCGAGACCAGGUGCGGGGGCGCAGGGAGUCCCGAAAUGGUGCUGGCAGAAGGGAGGGGUAUGCAGGAGGGAGGCCUGCGAAGGAUGCCUAUGGGUUCCGUUGCUCGCGCCACGAUAAAACGUCAAGCUGACUACAUCCAUUCACUCACACAGGUGCUGCAGGAAACGCGGACGGUGCGGGCGCUGGAUGCGUCGAACAUCCGGCCAGGUGCGUUCUACGUUCCUCGACCCUGCAUGUACGCCGGCCACCUGCGGCCGCCUUUCCACCUCUCAUUCCCUGCCAUGCACCGCUUCAGUUACCGCAAGCCCCAGAUUUCCUUUAACCUCAGCCUGGCACCUUAGCCUAGUGUCUCAGCGAACUGCAAUGCUCGGCUUCGCGUGUGAGCGCCACCGGAUGCCACCCUCCUCUCCGCCUUCUACCAUGCUAUUAAGCACGACCCGUUGACUCUUACUUGCACCUCAGCCCUUGCAUCCUUGCAAUGACACCUAUAAAUAUAUGCAUUGCAGGCAUGCACCUGAGCCGCAUGCUGGAGGAGGUGCUGGCGGAGACCAACGGCUUCGACCUGCUGUCGCUGGCGGACAACCGCCUGGACGACGACGGCGUGGCGCACGUGGUGGAGGGGUUGAGGCACAACGUGUACGGACUGAAGAUACGGUGGGUCCGGCAGCGGGGCCAGCAGGGCGGGUGCAUGUGGGUGGGUUGUAGAUACCAGCCCAAACUCUGGCCCAAACUAAACCAAACCUAAUGCAACGUGGGGUGGUGCGUGGGGAAAAGGGGGCAGGGAGGCAGGCAGGGCGGGAGUAGUCAGGGACAGCAGCCUGCCCACGCGCGUGCUGCUGAUGAUUGCGACGUGCGUGUGAAGGGGGGGCGGUUGUUGUUGCAGCGGUCCGGCUCUCGUGCAAGGCCCGACCGGGCGUUGCGGCGCCGCCCGACUGUGUCAUCCAACCCCAACUUCCAAUCCCAACGCCAACCCCAACGCCCCUCCGCUCCGCCCCCACCCUGCGCAGCGACCUGGACCUGUCCAACAACGACGUGGCGAUCAAGGGCGCGGAGGCCGUGGCCACCUACAUCAUGCAGGUGAGGGGAGUCUGGGCGAGGGACGCGGGCGUGGGGGAUGGGGUGUGAGGUGUGGAGGGGCAGGGCGCGACAAAAGGGCAUGCCAGGUACCGUAGCAAGCGCAUGCCAUGUACCGUAUGCGUGUGGGCGUGUGAUAUCUCAUUCCGACUGUUGUCUGCGUCAUCCCACAUGCGCCCGCAGUUCAAGUGCAUUGAGAACCUGAACCUCAACAACAACAUCAACCUGGGGGCUGUCGGCAUCAAGGCCAUCGCCUCGGUAAGGCGCCGCGGUCGUGAAGCACUGCAGCCCCACCUUUUGACCUGCAACGCGAGCUCCCCACUCUGCUGGGCUCUGACGCAUGUCUCGGCUGCACAUUUCCCCUGUACCAGCCCAGUCUUUUCACGCAUACCGUGAUCUUGCGUGUGCUCUCACCAGCCCACUCGCUCAAGCCCUGCGUCUCAACCUCUUUCCACCCCGUCCACCCCAUGAACGUCACCUGCUGCGUUGCGCGGUGUCCCUUUUUCCUACUGCUCUAACCACGCAACCCUCUACCCCCCCUUGCCGUGCCCCCAAGGUUGCCUGCCUUCUACCAUUUCCUGCGCUAGUUGUGAAUGUGACCCCCUCCCUUCCUCGCCCCAGGUUCUCAACGAGGACAGUGUGCUGGUCAGCCUGGACCUGUCCUUCUGUGACGUGGGCGCGGAGGGCGCGGCGGCGCUGGGCGCCAUGCUCAAGGGCAACAAGGGGUUGAGGCGGCUGAUGCUGGCGUCCAGCCGCCUGGGCACGUCGGGUAGGUGGCGCAGUGGUGCUGCGGAUGGCGUUGGACGUCAAUGGCGGCGGCAGCUUUGGGUGUACACUGGGCAUGCUUUGCAGCCGUCAGCGUUCCCAGUUUCAAUCUCAGCUAGUGCUCGUGCUGCCGAGCACGUGCCGCUAAAUACAACUCAUCACGAACGCCGUCACCAAUACAGGCGUGGACUCAAUCUGCAAAGGCAUCGCCAAGAACACGAUCCUUCGCGAGCUGGACCUGUCCAAGAGCGGAUGCGACGACAAGGGCGCCGCUCACCUUGCGGUGGUGAGGAAGAGCCGGGCAGGGAGGGACGGGGAGGGGAGGGGCUGCACGGCUCGGGGCUGCACAUGGGGUGGUGCUAUUAUAGUCUGCCGCUACAGCAGUCCGAAAGCUUGGCAUUGCAUGCAACGCAAGUUCUUGUUUCCGCCCGCCUGGACAUCACCGCAACAGCCUCCUCGCAACGAAGCACCUGAGCACAACUAACUGACACGCGGCACCGCACGUCUCCACAUCCUUCGAGUCUCCUCGUAUGCCGACAUAUUGCUCCCUUUUAGUGCGCCUCUGGCCGGGAGUGGUGACAGCAACCUCCUUUCACUCGCUCCUCCUGCGCCCCGUGCUCCUCCUCCCUGCAGGCGCUGCAGCAGAACAACACGCUGGAGCGGCUGCACGUGGGCAACAACCGCAUCACGGACGUGGGGGCCAAGGCGCUGGCGGACGCGCUGCAGGUGCGUGUAUGUGUGGUGUAAGGGGUAAACGUGGUGGCGGUUUGCUGUCGCGCGCAGCCAAACACUGUGCGGUACCCUCCGUGGAGAGCGUGUGGUGCUUUGGCGCUAGACGACUGCCUCUGAAGGAACACUUGCGGCUCCAGUCUGCUGCCCCGCAAUGCCACAUUUGUCCUCCCUCGCUCCUGCUUCCUCCCUCUCCACUCAUCCGCAGGCCAACACGGGCCUGCACUUCGUGGACCUGAGCGGCUGCCCCAUGGACAAGAGCUGGAAGAAGCUGCUGCACAACAUCAUGAAGGGGCAGGGCGGCGGCGCCAUGGCGGGCAUGACGGGCGGCGGGCUGGGCGGCGGCCGCGGCGGGUUUGAUGGGCUGUAGGGGGUUAUCUACGAACCAAUGGGCUGUGGGGGGGCCCUUCUGGGGGCUGUAGGCGGGGUAGUUUAUUCUAAUGCCACAAAACACAAGAGGGCGUAGCGGGGCAGCAAGGGUGGGGCGUGGAAAGGGGUGAGCGGGGCUGGGUGUCGUAUUAUCGACGUGCGUUGCGGAACUAAUGCGACCGUAGACCAGAGCGGAAGGCGGAGUGGGCUGGAGAACACUAGCGCGUAUGUUUUAGAACGACGCGGGCCCAGCCGGCCAUGGUGCUACAAGGGGUUUGGCAAAUGGGCGCGUGGAGGCCGGCAAACAGGGAAGACGAUGAUUCGGGGUGACGUGAGCUUCGUGAGAGGCAGGCGCGUCAUGCGGUGCAUAAAAUGCAGCCGGCCGUUUGUGUGCACGAUUAUCUGCAUGAGCACCUUGUCUUGUCUUGUCUUGUCAGGGAGGAGAGGAUUGAGACGGACGCUGGAGACAUGUUGAGCGUGUGUGCGCGGUGUGUGGCAAAGGCGGAGUGCUGCUGGAGAGCUAGCUAUGGUGCACAAGCGAUCCUUCCCUGUUGAUGGUGCGCUGGUAGAGGCCGGUAUCAAGGUGAAGGUGGACGUGAUUUAGUACCUUUAAAGGGAACUUGGGGGAGGGGGCUUGUCUGCAACCAUCGGUCAUAUGUACUGGGCCACGGAAACGCCUCAAAACAAAUGGCAGUGCAGGCUGUAAACUUCUGGUGGAUGAGACGUUCAAAGGCACUCAUGCGGCAUGGUUUGAUGUGAGCGCCUGGACUUGUCCUCGUUCGGCUGCUGCGCCUGCGCUUGCCAGUUGCCACUGCAAGUUAUCUCGUGGUAUCAGGCAGCACACAUCACCAAGUACGGACGUCGGACUUGCCUUCGCCUGCAAAUUCCUUUUUCGUCGACCCUCCUGCUGGUCCGCCUCCCCUGUCCCGUGGCGCUCCACGCUUCCCUUCGACGAUUGAUGGGUGCUGCAUGAUAUCAAGAGCUAACGUGCAGUGGCAACUGGCAAGCGCAGGCGCCCGCCCCCCCCCCCCCCGCUAUGAAGCGUGUCGACCAAACGUCGCUGCAAUAGUGCAGACUCGGCACUUGGCAUUCGGGUUCCCGGCAGACGGCACUCGGCAUUCGGGUUUCCGUUGUCACUGGUAGCUGGGCUCAGGGGCUAAGUUCCCUGACAUUUGAAAUGAGGGGGUCGAUGCCGCUAAGAAUGCGGAUGUUACAGAGGGGACAGUCCCAGCACCCGAAGACGCCGAGCCAUCAUUUGCUACCAGGGCCCAAGUUGACUCCACCAAUCCCGACUUUGCUGCAAACCCUCCCGCGAUCAAAGUCCGUGUGACUCCGCGCACAGUGAGUCCUAGCCAAGCCUCAACCCGCCACAGCCCCACCGCUGUGCCUCAACGCCACAAGCCUAGGCACAGGAGUGCCAGGAAUCGUCCAGGCCGCAGCAUACACACACGGCGCACGCACGAACCAGGGCGCAAGCGUCCAGGCACUAGAACGGUCGCCCACACGUGCAUCCUGCCCACACACAAAUAAAGCCACCAACCACUCACAACCUCUCACGGCGAGGGAGGCGGGGAAUCAGCGUCAUAUGGUAAGCGCAACACCAGGCCUUCACCAACAGCCCGAGAGAUGAAAGGAUGCGCAGUGUCCCAACCCUUUGGCCUGGUACCCAAAGUCACAAACGUCUGGAGACGACCCCAGAAGUCGUCAGCUACGACGGCAAGUCCAAUGCUCAGCACCCGGGCCGACGGCAGCUCCGCUCGCGCCGCCAGCCCGGCCAUAACUAUACGCUGCCGACCAAAGUCCAGCGCAGACAUAGCAGCGAGACACACCACAUCCCACACAGGUGGCGCAAGCCCCGCAGGCGGGCGCACUAACCACAACUCCUCACGAGAGAAGGCAUCCUCUGGCAAGAAACCCAUAGCCAUCCCCAUGUUUUCCCGCAGGGACAGCGCAACAGUGCAGUCCCAAAACCAGUGACGCCGGUCCCCAUCCUGCAUGUCAACCCCACACGCCCAACACGGUCAACAGCAAUGCUUCGCGCCCGCUUGCAUGCGGCGGAAACGCCCAGCAAGCGUUGGCGGCCACACGCCACAGUGCUUCCUUAUGAUGAUUCUCCCAUUUCAGCGACCACAAGCGGGCCAAGGUGCACACGAUGCCCCCGCCGCCAGGGCAGCCUCCACCCCCGACACACCCGCAUCGCACACAUAGGGGGGCCCCCAAGGAACAAGGUGGCGGACGGGUCUGCCGUCUGCCCCAACUAUGCUUGUUUUCCAUUUUGAACAACUCAUGCGAUAACCUUGACGUUAUAAAGACAUGUAGUAGUGGCGACAAGCGGCAAACACUCACUAGGGUUUCACUGAUUCGGCACAUCUGCCCCGUGCAAUCAGGCCGGCCCCUGGGAUUUUAGCGAACAUACAGCCAUAACAGCCAACACCGCUUACAAGUAAGGACACGCCAAUCGUACUUUUGCCUUGAAUCACGCUUAGCAAACAUGGUUUCGCUUGGUUGGGCUCGCUGCCUCGCCGCUGCACAAGUUACGACGCGCCAGCCGGCACCCGCGUUUGUGACGACUAGGCUAGCGCGCCGGGGCGCCAUUGCACUGGCGCCGCGCGCGAAGAAGCUGUCUUCCCGUCAGGAGCAGCAGGAGCUCGCCGUGCAGGGCUACUCUGGGCUUGUCUUCACGGUUGUAUUCACUACCGCUGUUACGGCAAUAACAUUAUAUAUGGCGAUCCAGGGCAGUUUCCAGGACCUGAAGGCGGACAUAACAGAACUGAAGGCGGACAUCAAGGCCAUCACGACACGCCUGGACACCUGAAACUCCUGCUUCUCUGGGCUGGCAGUGACGUGACUGGACAAGGACGUAGACAUCGUGCUCAGUCGUGGGCUCAGUGGGGCUCAGUGGGGAUGACACGUGGAUGACACGGCUCAACGGUGGGUGAGGGCUCAGUGGGGCUCAGUGGGGCUCAGUCGUGGGCUCAGUGGCGCUCAGUGGGUGACGGCUGGGUGAUGGCUCAGUCGUGGGCUCAGUGGGACGCACUCACUCUACCCUCCCGACGGUGCAGGGACGUGACGUCAACUCCGUAACCAACAUCCGGCACGCGCUGGUGGAGAUGCUGCUGGGGCACAAGCGACCUGCAUCGUUGCAGACUGGCGGCGGCAGCGGCAGCGGCGGCGGCGCAUGCGCGCAUCUUGGUAGCGGAGGGGGCGGGAAAGGCCACGUGGAGGAGGAGAGCGCAGCGCCGCCCAAGAAGCGGUGCAAGCGCGCAGGCUGAGGAGCCGGCUGGUGUCUAGGUAGCGGUCCGUGGUGGGGCUGGCAUGCGUAGCGGCAUGACAAGUAGUGCAGCUGUUGACAACUGUGCUGCGUCUGGCUGCGGUUGGCUCUGCUGUGGCAUCGUGACUGCUAUGUGCCUGUGGAAACCGACCCCGGCUAUGUCCGGGCGAUGAGGAUAGCCGGGCGAUGAGGUUGUUCGGCCUCAGACUGUGGAGGGGCUCAGCCCCUUUUCCCGUGACCGGGGAACACUGGUUGUUUUGCGGUAUACUUCUGCAUGGCACCAAUAGUACCGGGGUAAUGAAAGUAUGUUGCAGUGCGUGUCUGGGCGCAUGCGUGUGGGAUGCGGUCUGGGCAGGCGCGCGGUAUAUCGGCUAUGCGUGAAUAUAGCAGGCCAAAAGCCUCGCGCUUCGCCCACACGCGCAACAUGUUCUGGACUUGACUUGGCGAAACAAGUUCAAGACGGCGAUGGAGCUGCACGGUGACGCAGAUGCGAUGGGGGUUAUGUGCCUGAGACCAUGACGAAGAUGUGUAUACUGUAGGUUUCAAUGUGCGGGGUCAUAAAACCAGAGACAUCGUGCAGCUAAGCUGAAACACUGCGAGUUUGAGUAGACUGACACCUGUUUUGCGCCUGCCCUGAGGAGGGACACCACGCCCAGGCGCCCAUGUGCAAAGCAUUUUGCAGUGGACAGUAGUGCAUGUGUUGAAAAACAACAAAAUGAAGCCUGCCCAGACGGCGCGCCGGAGUUCCUUACGGAUAGUGCAUGUGUGUGUGCCUUUGUGGAAGGUGUGUGUAUCGGUAUAAGCUGUGUGCAUGUUGGAGGGGGCCUAGGGUUGCUUAUUUGUGGACCUACAGAGCAAGCUAGCUGGGCGCAUGGGCCGUGCCGGCGUGGGUAGGGCAGUCGGUAGGGCCGAGGGCAGUUGGGGGCUACAUACGCGCCUAUGGAUGCUGCGGUGGUGUGGUUGUGCGAUGGGACAGUGCGGUAGGCGGGCUGUAUGCUGUCCUUGUUGUUACAGGUUGGUUGUGUGCAGGCCAACCGCGCAACAAGUAAGAACAAGCAAGCCGCUGAUGGUUAUCUCGUGGUACCCGUUAUCUCGUGGUAUCAUGCAGCACCCAUCACCAAGUGGGGACGGUGGCACGCGAUGGGGUGCCUGUGCCGUGACCUGUGCUGACGCCGUGGACCUGUGUGGACUGAUGGCGGGAAACAAAGCUUAACUGAGCCAAGCCAUGCCAGCCAUACAUACAAAUAAAGUCAGCAGUGAUUUAUAUUUUCACGCCAUUCACGCCUUCAGACGCUUAGACGAAAACGGAAAAGAACGGGGAAACAGGUUGCAACUUCCCUUCUGGAUACAAAGCGCCAUCUUAACAAUGCUAAAUAAAGAUGCUCUUAUAAAGCAUUGCAACUAAUAACAACAUCGCUCAACGAAAUGCGCGAACUCCUGGGUUCUGCCCUAGUCGUGGCGCUAGUGCUGGCAUGCACUCGCGUCACGGAUGCGGAUGAAUGCUUGAAUGUCCUACAUCCAGCGAUGACCGCGAGGUGCGGCCUUGAGGUUGCGCGCCACGACUCACAAGUCACCCUCUACCCGGCUAGUUAGUGCGUGCGCUGUGCGUGUGCUGCAGCCUGGACGAUUCCCGGCACUCCGGUGCCUAGGCUUGUGGCGUUGAGGCACAGCGGUGGGGCUCUGGCGGGUUGAGGCUUGGCUAGGACUCACUGUGCGCGGAGUCACACGGACUUUGACGUCGGGAGGGUUUGCAGCAAAGUCGGGGUUGGUGGAGUCAAGUUGGGCCCUGAUGGCAUGUGAUGGCUCGGCGUCUUCGGGUGCUGGGACUGUCCCCUCUGUAACAUCCGCAUUCUUAGGCACCCUCAGGCACCGCUUGCCUUAUGUACCACGAACUACCAAGGCGCCAGCUUUCUUGGCUGCUGGCACUUAGUGCUAGCAGCUGCUGCGUGUUGACGGUUCAGAGGGGCACACAUGGCUCGGGGGGACGCACGUUCAAGUGCGUUCCAGGUGGUUGUUGGGGUGGUUGGGCCAGCAUCCCAGUUGCGGUUGCCAUGUCAGCGCUCGACACAAGCCGAAGCGCCGCCUAUCUGCUAUGUCUUGCUGCUAGACUGGUGGUUUGGUGAGCCCGCCAAGAGCAUGUACGUACGGCGGGCCGUGCUGCGCAGGAUCCAAAAGGACGUGGCGUGGCUGGAUCGGGCGGGCGGCAUAACAGACGCCAUGAUCCGAAACAUAUCGCUGGUGCGUACACUGAACAUGCAGAGGCUCCCGAUCAACGCUGCAAACCACCCAUAACUCGGUUUGAGCCCUAUGGUGGCGUGAUGACUGCAGCUUUGCGACAAUGCCAUAAGAUGGCAGUGCAACGUCAAGGCGGUUAGAAUGAUGAUCAAGGACGGGGAGGUGCGGUUGGGAGGCCAGAGGGCCAGGGCAGGGGCAGGGGCAGGGGCAGGGGCAGGGGCAGGGGCAGGGGCAGGGGCAGGGGCAGGGGCAGGGGCAGGGGCAGGGGCAGGGGCAGGGGCAGGGGCAGGGGCAGGGGCAGGGGCAGGGGCAGGGGCAGGGGCAGGGGCAGGGGCAGAGGGCAGUGGCCGGGGCCGGGGCAGUGGCCGGGGCCGGGGCAGGGGCAGGGGCAGGGGCUGGCCAGGGGCAGGGCAGGGGCAGGGGCCAGGGCAGGGGCCAGGGCCGGAGUCGGAGCCGGGGCCGGAGAUGUCCUGCACCUGCUCAUAGGAUUCUUCAUUAUGCUGUGAUCCCUGAUAUCCCUAGGAUCCCUCGGAUGAUCGUACGGGCCAGGCCAUAGCACGUCCGCAUGACCUUUUAUGGUAUGAUUUGCCCGGUGCAGGUUUACCUCAAUAGCUUGCACCCGGACUGGCGUUUAGGGCCACACGAGCUGAUUGGCUUCCUCCUGGAGCUCUACGAGGCCAGCAAGAUGUAUAAGUGAGUGACACGGCGGGCUGGGCGAACGCAGGAAGUGGAAUUGGAGGGGCUAACCUAGGAAUUGGAGGGGUUGAUACCGCGCAGUGGGGCAACCAGAUCCUUUCAGGCUUUCAUGCGCGUGCCAGGCGUCCUGCGAUGGGCAACAAGGGAGCACUUGAGGCAGGCAGCGUGCCACCAGCGGCGUCACUGUUAAAUCCUGACAGCCCACAACCGUGCAUCCCUUACCUCCUCUAAUUGCGCAAUGCAAAACACAUGGCAGGCUACCAGAUGUGGAGUUCGCCUACAAUGGCGAUGACGACGUUAUGACCGCAGUGGAGUGGAAGGACGAAGCGGCGCUCAAGCCGGCGUGAGUACGGAGUGGCACACUAGGCCCGCCAUCAGGGGCGGAGGCUAGGGGCGUGAAGCGUACGGGCGGGGCUUUGAGCCGUGUCUGCGCUGCCGCGGUGCAAGCGUGUCGACGGGGCUGCUUCACACGUACGUACCGUACAUGCCAGUUCCAUGUGUGGUGCAAGCGCAUUGCAUGCUAUUCGCAGUUUUGGUGAGGGUCUUCAAUGUCUCAACUUAUGCAACGCUCAUGCCGCGCAUCCCAGCACCCAUGCGGCCGUGCGCCCAUGCACCUGACACACGCCAACUUGCCCGACGUCGACACGUUGGCACCAUGUAUGCCUUCAGCUUCCACGGCGGCCCCUUCCCGCUGCUGACGUGGAGCAAGGGCGACGACAGCAGCGGUAUGCUGGUGCCGUACAGCGGCGCUUUCAGGUGAGGCGGGGGUUGUUUCUCCAUUCCAUUCCAAAUAAGAAACUAGUGACAGUUGGGGUGGGGGCAGCAGAGGGAGGAAGAGGUAGGAAAAGUCCAUGCCGAUCUUAGUUUGAUUGAGGCCCUGAGGGCGUUGUGCGCCCAAAGCCAGUGGAUGCGUCUUGUAAGGGUAAGGUGGAGAAAGGAGGGGCCGAGGGAGCAGCGGUGUUGCGAAGUCUACACCCGCGCGUCCGCAUGCCAGCAGAUUAAGGCGUGUCGCAUGUGCCGUGUGUGCUGCAUAUGUUGCGCAGGUGUGCAGACGACAGCUUUGAUGCCAUGUCGACACGCCUGGAGGACUUCCGAAGGGUGCCAUGGUCGGAGCGCAAGCAGGUGACGAGCGGGGGCACGUGUCAGGGGUGCAAACGGCAGGGACAUUUGACAAGGGCGUGCGUGGCAUGCAUUGGCAUGUGCUCUGCUCUGCGAUUUGCAUUGCGGGGUCGCGUCUCCCGGUUAGGGCUGUGCCGGUCGUGGUUGUGAUGCCGUGUGCCCCCGCUCGGUAUUGCGAUGCAGGUGGCCUUCGGGCGCUGGUGAGUGUGGUUGUACGAUAUUAUGCAAUCACCAAAUGGGCCGGGCGCCGCGCGGGUCGCGCGGAUAGUUGGAUGUUGGCCAGUCGGUGUUGCGGGCGGUACCGAAUCCUUUCAAAUCGCGGGCAGGGAGGCAAUGUACGUCUCGUUAACACACUGCACGACAAUCUGCCCUGUGAAUGUAAGUUCUGGGCCCAUGAUCCAGCUCGUCACCCUGCGCAAUCACUCCCACAGGAAUGAGUUCUGCGCGCUGUACUACAACGCCUUGCAGCGCAUGCCGAAGUGAGGGAACAUACACGGCCCGUAGCAGGCAAAGACGGUGUCUGUACGGUUGCCAACAGGGUACCACACGGGCCUGCUUCAUGGGGCCGCUGCUCGCGUUUCCACGCCGCCUCCGUUACGGACUGCAUUUCCUUUCGUGAACUUGCGGCCAAGGCUCAUGUAUGACUGUGUGUGUAUGACUGUGUUUGUGUGUGUGUGUGUGACGCGUGUGUGACACUGUCUAUGCCUGUGCCGCCCUCGCCCAUGAUCAACGCCGCAGCGGCCGCGAGCAGCCCUGCCCGCGCAACUACCUGUCGCAGCUGUCGGACAAGAACCUGGAGCUGCUGGUGUGUGGUGACGGGCGCUUGGGUGGUCGGGAAGUUGGGUGGUCGGGAAGUUGGGUGGUCGGGAAGUUGGGUGGUUGAGGGCUUGGGGCCUUGGGGGAGCUCGGGCUUGGGGCCUUGGGGGAGCUCGGGUGCCUGGAUGGCUGGGUGCUUUGGGGCUUGGGUUGCGUCUGUGAUUGCUGGGGCGCCGAUGGCAACGGGCCUUGGGGGAUGGGUGGGCGGCUCUGAGUCUGUGUUGCUGGCCGGUGCAGCUACGAAAAGGAGUUGAGAGACGGCCGUAAACCUGGUGUUGUGGGAUUACAGGCGGGCCGCCGCGUACUCGUACCCUGGUGCUUACAGGACGUGGGCGUGAUGUUGGAGAUGGAGAAGAAGGGUCGCGUGGGGCACGUGCCGCUGACACACCAGAACGUGUACAGGUAGGGCUGCGGGCGUCAGUGGAUAGGCAGCGGGGUGGGGGAAUGCAGCGGGGUUGGGGAAGGCAGCUGGGUGCGGAGGCAGCAGGGUGCGGAGGCAGCGGGGAGGGGGAAGGCAGCGGGGUGGGGAGGCAGCGCGCCACGUUGCUGGGGUUGCUGGGGUGGAGGGGUCUCGCCUCUGUACAAAGAGGAGUCCAGGACUGGGGAGAUAGAUCAAGUGCCCGCCCUGCGAGGGCCCUGCAUCGGUCAUGAUCCACGCACGCUGCCACACCAGCACACACGAACACGCCAGCGGGCGCGCAUGCACUACGCGCAGGUACCUUGUGUCCACGGACGGCUGGGCCAUCAGCUCCAAGUUUGACAAGUACCUCCUGCUGGGAAGUCUAGUCAUCAAGGUAGGCUGCCGCGUCUGCCGCCCACAGUAUCUCACUCACAAGCAAGCCCUGCAGGCUUGCACUCCCGUGCUGCCCUCAAUCCCCUGCACUCCUUGCUCAUGUCCUCCCCUCGUGUCGCUAGCUCAUGAACCGCGCCAGCACGUCCCGCUACCGUAGUCACGUGCGCCGUGCGAUCUCCCCUCCCCUCUCCAGCCCCUCGCCAACAUCGCCAUUUUCCAACUACGCAUGCCUGGAGCCCCCUCCUUCCGGCCCCUGUGUCGCGCUCCUUCACCUGCAUUCCUUCCUCAUGCUCAACGUCGUCCCCUGGAAUCAUACAACAUCCCCCGUCCCCGCCCCCCUGGCUACAACUUCGCUUUUUCCUGAUAAGUUAUGAAAUGUAAACCCCUGCCCCCCUGCAGGCCCGCUCGCCGCGCUACGGCUUCUACUACGACGCCCUGGUGCCGGACCAGCACUUCCUGCCAUGCAUGAACGCCUCGAACGACGACGUACUGGAGGUACGGCGCAGUAACUGUACGGCAGCUGGGAUGCAGGACAGUACGGCACGUGGGUAGGUGGGUGGGGGAGUUGUGUGCUGGGCGGGUAUCAGAGACGAACGGGCAAUCAGGGGGGCAGCAGCAUGGGACAGCCUUGUAUGUAGCGGCCGCAUGGGGCAGGGACGCGGGGUAGGGGCUUUGACGAUCUGUGGUCUGGUGGGUGCACACCCAACGCGGGCUCCCAAGCUGCUUCUGCUGCUGCUCGUGGUGCGCUUUGCCUCGUACCUUCAGCGCAUCAAGUGGGCGAAGGAGCAUGACGCUGAGGCACAGAAGAUGGCGGAGGCGGCCCAGGCGUUCGCGGUGAAGCACCUGCACAGGGGCGCGCGGCUGUGCUACUACCGCACACUGAUGGAGGAGCUGGGCAAGCGGAUGAAGUGAGUGGGGCUGUGGGGGAGCAGACGGCAGAAAGACAGCACUACAGGACGAGCGCGUGGUCACGCCUGGCUGACUCACCACUCACCUCACCUCCCGUACGACAAAUGUGCCGUACGGCAAAGGAGGACCGGUGACAUAAACGGGUUGGUGUGGCUUGCUCAUUCUAAUACAGCAAGCGCGUGGUAUUGCCGGGCUCACCUUUCAUUUCACCUCCGUACGGCAAAUGGCAGGUACACGCCAGACUGCGCCAACCGGCAGCUGUGCAUCCCGCUGGGCCAGUUCCUCAACUUCCUCUCCACCUACCCCAAAACCCGGCACACCUGCCCGUGAGUGCGGCGGGGCCUGGGCGUGACUCUGGAGUCUGGGACCUCCUCGGGAGCAGCCUUGGGGGGCAGCCGGGGUGGGUGGGGUGGGGGGCGGUUGUAGACACCAGCCCAAACUAAACCAAAGCAAGUCAAGCUAGCGGAGUACACAAGCGAUAGUACUUAUGGGGGCAGACUCAUGGCCAGUCUUGGCUACCGACCCCUGCUGAGCCGCCAUACUCGCACGACCAGGUGUCAUGAUGGACACCGUAAGCCCUUGUUGCUGCUGAUGGUGGCGGCCUGGUGUUUGUGGUGGCACGCGCCGCGCAGGUACUCGCAGGUGCUAUCGCAGUACGGCUUCAAUGCGGAGCUGGAGGCAGGUGCGUGCGGGCGUGCAUGCAGGCAUUCAGGGGCAGCGCCAUGGUCAGGGGGCAGGGGCGAGCGGCGUGAGCGAGGGGCGAGAUACCGCGUCUCCGGAUGACGGUACGUGGUAUAUGCGUACACCACCUUUGCACAUUUUGCUGCGCAACAUGCCUGCAGGCAAGUACACGACCGAGUCCAUCACGGCGCUGCUCAAGCAGGAGAAGUACUGGUGCGUUGGCCGCAGGGACUUGAGUGCAGAUGGGGGGAGGAGGGGGGCUCGGGUGGUGGCUGCCGGGGUCGAGACCACUGAGCCAGACGGGGCACAAUACCCUUAAACUGCGUAGGCUCGCAUGAUAAGAUGUGCGAGAAGCGCAUUUGAGCACGUGUUGGGGUACGGGCUUCAAAGAGUCUUGACGGGCCCAUGUCCGUGCUUUGCUGUACCCUGAUGUCGCCAUCCGGCUCUCACUCUUUAUUGCCAGGCAGGCAGGGCACGGACAAACACUGCGCAAACGUCUCUGCCGCAGGCCUCGCGACACGGACAUCCCGCCGCUCACUUACCAGCCGUACUUUCCGCGGCGGCUGCGGCGGCGUGGGCUGCAGGCGCGCCGGCGGCAGGCGGCAUGAAGCACCGACGGAAAUGCGGCGGCGGUGCAGGCGGGGGCGCAGGCGGGGGCGCGGAGGGGGCUGCAGGCGAAGGGCUCAAGCAAGUUAGAGGACUGUGCUAAGGGGCGCACCAUCAUAUGAGUGAACCGAAGAUGCUUUGACUGAUCGGGUCAGGUUGGACGUUGGGCCGUUGAGGGCCGGGCGAGGGGGGAAGAGGGCACGGAUUGCCCGAAUGGGGCCUUUGAUCCGGCGUUAAGGCUGGCAGCUGACUUACCUGCGUAGUUCUUGAACAUCAGCACUUAAACUGUUGAUGCUUGAUGUGUGUCGCUAAGCUGCGCAGUCUGGUUCAAACUCGUUUGAAACUUUGGGGCGUGUCCCCAGCAGCCGCUGUAAAGUAGACACGAAACCUAGUAUUGACCUGAUACAUAUCAAUUAAGUGAAAUGUUUUAGACCCGCAUUGACAGCGACGAAAGCUCGUGAAAAUGGCCAAGGGCACAAUUGUUGUGUCCUUGCGCUCCAAAGGACUGCCAUCGUUCAAUAAGUCGCUUGUAUUUGACCUGCGCUACCAGGCAGUGCAGUUUGCGACUGAGCUGCUCGACAUUUUCUUGGCGUGCUUCGUUACGUUUGCUUGCUUAUCGUGGUCAGCAUGGAUCAGCAUAUCGGUCAAUGUCAUCACAAUUGCGGCGACCUUGACCACCAACUAUGCGCAAGUCAGCAUGGACAUCCCCUUCAUCUUCUUCAUAUACAUAGUCCUGCCCAUCCUUAUCCUCUUCGCCAUCGUCUUCCGGCGGAGAGAGUACGCCCUGCAAAGCUUGGCGGAGCUAAAGGCGGCCGUGGUGUCGCUGCUGCUGCACCGGCCGGCCGGGGUCACAGCGGUGCAGCGCGACGCGUCUGACGACCUGCAGCGGCGGAUUGUCGCCUUCAUGGACGACCUACGGCAAUAUCUGCAGCACCGGCGGCCGUACGCGCGCCAUUUCUAUCUGCCGUACCGCACUUCGGACCCCAGCCCUCAGGACGAGCUGGUGGGUGUCAGGCAUGGCGUGUGGGGCUGGGGUAUGUCAGGGAUUGGUACGGCUGCGGUGGGUGGGUCUCGGAGCCACACGCUCUGACGCGGGGGGUCCCAUAGCAUUGGUGGCAGGGAUUUCGACCUCGUCCUUAACGUGUCUGCUGCCAGCGGACCGCCGCUCAGCGCGGCAUGCAAGCACCACCUGCUCCCCUAGCUUGGAGGCCGCCCGCAGCGGCCAGGGCCCUUCACCGCUCCCCUCCCCCCCAUCUUACGCACAGUCCAUUCCUCCCUUCCCUGACCGCUACGCCCCUAAUCCUGAACCCCUCUAUCCAUGACCGCACCCCUCCUGCAUUACACACAGCUCAAGAUCUCUCGGGAGCUGGGGUUGCUGCUGCGCAAGGUGCAGCGGGGGGUGCGCGAGCUGCACUUGACGGCGGAGCGCAUGCAGGGCUGCGGCUUCCGCGAGGGGCAGGUGCGUGGGGAGCAGCAGGAGAGAGGGUGGACAAGUAGGAAAAGGAGCAGCAGGAGGAGGAGGAGGAGGAGGAGGAGGAGGAGGAGGAGGAGGAGGAGGAGGAGGAGCAGGGGUGGAAGGAGGAGGCGCAGGAGGGUGUGGAAGGAACUUUACACGUCAGUCAUGAAGCGCGUCGUAACAAAGUUGCCUGUCACUCAAACCCUGAAAAACCUUAUAUGCGCACGUUGUGGUUCCUCCGACGACACCGCACACAUGCCCAGCGCACUUCGGUCUGGGUGCUCUUAUAUCCCACAAAGCAUGUGCGAAUCCUUUGGUUUAGACCGUUGUAUGUCUUGCACCUCGCGAAUGUCACACAGGUGGCGGCGGUGAUUGCCAAGAUCGAGGCCAUGCAUGGGGCCAUGGAGCGGCUGUCGAACAUCAAGGAGAUGCGGACGCCUGUGGUGAGGCAAGGGUUGCGGGCACCGACUAUCAAGAUGGAUUGCGACGGUGGGCGGGCGUUGUUGUGCCGGUCCCCUCGACCCUCCUCCCUCCCCACCUGCCCCGCCAUUACCUCCUCCUACGCCCUCCAUACGUGCAUCCCAGCCCCAUUAUCCCCAUCCUUCACGGAUGUCUACCCUUCUCUGCCGUCUGCUAGCCAGUCAUGCCCGGAACCCCACGCUGACACCCUCCCCAAUCCUCCCCAACCCUCCCCAAUCCUCCCCAAUCCUCCCCAACCCUCCCCAACCCUCCCCAACCCUACUCAAUCCGCCCCCACCCUCCCCAUCCCUCGAAACCCCAACACCCCAUCCCACGCCACGCCGCAGGUCAUGCGCGCCGUCAUCCGCUGGUUCGUGGUGGUGCUGCUGCCGGUGGCGUUCGGCCCCUUCUGGGACGCCGUACGCAACUACACAGGCAAUGCAGCGUACGCGGGCAUUAUGGGCGUGCUGGUGAGUCAUGCGAGGGCGGUGCCGUACGAUACAGUACGGCAAAAUGCAUGGGUAUGAAUGAACACCCGAGUCCCGCCACCAAUGCGCACAAGGGUGGAUGGUGUGGAAGCAUUGGACUUGACAGAAGGGGAGAGAUUGGGCGGCUGAGGCUGCGGGGUACUGGCGUCACGACAAUCCGGCCGCAUUCCCGGCACCGCGCUACUCCUCCCUUCCACCUUUAACAUAAUGCCUCUGGAACAAUUCCAUCGAUUCCGUGACAGACGCACGUGGCCUUGAUGGCCAGCAUGGACACGGUGGUGGCGAUGGAGGACCCCUUUGACGACACGGCACUGGACGGCAUCAGCUUGUAUGAGAUGCUAGACCAAGUCGGCGCGGUGAGGCAGCCCACGUGCCUGCCCUUACCGGAGUGACAACGUCAUGCUAUCGUCGUGGCAUCGCUGUGUUAACGUGCUUGGCCUUGUCACGUGCACGCUGAUUUGUGCUAGGCACAUUUGUCCCAGCCGCGCGCGGUUCAGCUGCGUUGCUGUUUUGCUAACGUAGUCUGUCCGGGGGCGGGCGGGUCAGGGCCGCUCCUACGGCGUCUACCACGCACCGUGUGCCUUCAACUGCAACCGCCCGUCGUGUGCCUUCCCCAAAUCCUGUGUGGUUUUGUCGCAGAUGACCAACGCGCCAACGGACGUGGACGGCUACGACGCCAGCGGACUGGGCGAAGGCGGCGCCGACGCCAACGGCGGCGGCGGCGUCGGCAACGGCGACCCUCACGUCGCCAUGUACAUGAGCGGCAACGGCGUGGGCGCCGGCGGGCCGGGCACGAUUGGCGUGGCGGCCGACACUCCCGGCGGCGGCGGCGGUGGCGGCGCGGUGGGCUCCGCGUCCAUGUCCAUGUCAGGCAUGACUAGCUCUAUGGGCCCAGGUGGGGGUGCUGGCGGCGGCGGUGGCGGCGGUGGUGGCGGCGGCGGCGCGACGGUGCCGGGCGCGUCCAUGUCUGAGCUGGCAGGGCUGGUGAGUGGUAGGCGCGCGUCAUGAUGGAGGAUGCAAGGCCUCUGAGCAGCUCGUGUGGAGCUACGCGCGGUGUCACGGCGCGUGCUAUUGCCCUGCUCCCAAUGUCAUUAGGCUCGCAUGCUCACGUGCUCCGUCCGCUCGUGCGCUCACGCGCACGCGCUUCCGGCCGUCCGCAAUCGGGCCAUCAACCCCCGCCUCGCGUGUGUCCCUGUGUUUGUGUUGCGCGCAGGCCCAAGUCCAGCAGGCCGUAGGGACCGGGGCCUUCGCCGCACCCGGCGCCGGCAACAACCUUGGCGGCGGCAUGGGUGUACUGCCAGUCCCCGCCAUGCGCGGUAGUGUUACCUCCGACACCGCCGUCGGGCCGCCGUCGGCGCUCGAUGGCGGCGCUGGCGGCGGCUAUGGUGGUGGUGGAGGCGGGGGCGGCAACCCAAACCUGCCGUCUGUGACGUCGCCGGCUCCGUUGUUUGAGCUGGGGGCGCCGGUGCGGGCGCCGCCGCCUAUGCCGCCUAUGCCGGCCCUGGCUGGGGAUAACAUGUACGUCCCCGCCGCAGGCGGAGGUGGUGGUGGAGGUGGAGGCGGCUCUUAGGGUGCAGAGGUACAGGUUUAGAGGUGCGGGUGCGGUGGAUUGAACCGUUGCUGGGCUUACCUGUACAGGUGCGGGUGCAGCGUGUUGUAGGUGGAUGCGUGUGUGUUAUUCCGGAUGUAUGGUUGGUAUGGGUUUGUCGUUUUGUGGUACCGUGUGCAUACCUUGAGCAUGAAUGCGCUGGAGCAGGCUUUGCAGACGUAAGGCGGCAUCGUACAUAAACACUCAGACCUGGGUUACCAACCCGGGACUGUGUACGGACAUUGAAGGGGGCAACUUAUGCCGGGGGGGGGGGUCGCAGGGAUGCAUCGCCGCGCCACGACCAGACCUGGUGGCCGCUUCAGGUUUGGCUGCGCACGUAAUUUCCGCGGACUCCCAUACACAAAACUGAUCACGCUGUCGCGACAAUGUGCCAGCGCACGCAUUGCUGGGUGGCACGUACACAAGGGAGCUGGCAAGCAGAUGAGAGCGUGCUCGGCUUGCGCCCCCCGUGUGUAAGAUGGCUAUUAUAAACACGUGCACGAGAGAGUCCCGUGAGAGAGUCCCCAUGCUGGGUGUUGACGUGACAUGGAUAGCGCCAUUCGCUUGGUUUGGCUGCAACGGCUGCGUGUCGGGUCGUCAGGCCCGAGUCAGCGGUAGACCUUCAGCAGCUAACAAAUGACAAGUUGACAACUGAUGGCAGCAGGCUAGCUGUGCGGGGUCACUGCGAGGUGGGCAUGUUGGAAUGCAGCAGGCGCUGCGGCGGCUGUAAGGAGUAGCUGGUCUGUCUGGCCUGUCUGGUUGCCCCUGCCAUCCCUACUUCAAGGUCGCUGGGUGGGCGGGCCAAGGGCUGUCGGGGUUGCGGGAUCGCAUUGCUCGGGUGAACCCAGGCACCGACGCCCCGGACAGCGCCACGCGGCAGCACCGUGCGUGGCCGGUUGCGUCGGUAGCAGCUGCAGCCCAGCAUGACCGGCCGCUCAGGCCUCAAGGGGGGGGGCGCGGGCCAUCAGGAUUGAGCAGCCAGCAUUGGCCCCUCCCCUGCCUCCCCCAAGGCGCGGCCGGUCCGGGAAUAGAACAUGCAUGCGUGGGCGCAACGCUCACACACACGCCGUCCAUACGUAAUUCUGCAUCGCAUACACUGUCCUACGCGUAAUGUUUUCCUUGUGCUCUUUAACACGCCGUCCAUGCGUGCCGUACGUGUGCGAGCUGUAAGGCCGAUUCACCCGCGCAGGGCUUGCAUCUUCCAGGGGUGGGCCGCCGCCGCAGGCGAGAAGGGCCCUCACCACGUUCUCGCCCACAGCAUCCAGGGGCCCCAAGAACGCCUAAUUUUUAGCGUUUGGGGGGCCUCCACCCCCUCAAACUCCCCCGGGAAGGGGGAGUUGGCGAGAUUUGGGGACCUUAUGCAGCCCCACGCGGCGAGAAUGCAACCCCGGAAGUGCCCAAUCUUUCUAGCCCGAGGGCCUGCAUUGAGGCCCGCUUCUUGCCGCUCCCCGAACAUGCAAGCCCUGCACCCGCGUGCGUGGAUGGGUUGCGGUACCUGGACACCACCCCUUCCUCGCGC